rnacentral:sRNA from 1 species
AGGCGGGAGAAUCACUUGAACCCAGGAGGUGGAGGUUGCAGUGAGCCAAGAUUGCACCACUGCAUUCCAGCCUGGGUGACUGAGCAAGACUGUCUCAAAAAAACCCCCAAAAAACAAAAAUUAGCUGGGCGUGGUGAUGCAGGCCUGUAAUCCUAGCUACUGGGAAGGCUGAGACAGGAGAAUCGCUUGAACCCAGGAGGUGGAGGUUGCAGUGAGCUGAGAUUGUGCCACUGCACUCCAGCCUGGGCAACAGAGUGAGACUCUGUCUCAAAAAACAAAACAAAACAAAACAAAACAAGUCAAACAGUACAAGGAGUCUUCUCUUCUUCCUUCCAGUCCCACCCCUCUAUAAUGAAUGAGUGAUAAUGGUAACAGUUUGGUGGUCUCCUUCCUUUUUGAUGCUUAUACAAACAUGUUCAAAGAUAUAUGUGCAUAUAAGAUUCUUUCAAACACUGGAUCAUACUGUAAUAUAUUAAAAUAACAGACUCUUUUCACUUAACAUUUUUUCAUGGAUAUCUGUCCAGAUCAAUCCAUUUAUAUAUAACUUAUUUUUUAUAGCUAUAUACUAGUAUCCUUAGAAUGGAUACAUUAUUUAUUCAGCUCACCUCCUUGUUUCAGAAAUUUAGGUUAUUUCUAGGUUUGUUUUUUACUACUUCAAACAAUGCUGCAAUAAACAUUCUUGUACAUCAAAUCUUUGUACUGAUGCUUUAAUUUCUAUGGAUGGUUCCUAAAACUUUCUGUGUGGUGCAUGGACAAGCAGGGACAGUUUGGAUGAUAGCAGGUACCUAUCCCUCCCGCUGUCCAUCCCCCCGCUUGGCCAUCCCUGGGGCUUCUCCCCCAGGCGAUCCAAGUGUGUCACCUGUCUGGUCAGUUGACCCCACCUCUCAACUGCCAUAAAGCCCAGCUUAGAGCAGGUCCCAUCCAUUGUUUUUUGUUUGUUUGUUUGAGACAGAGUCUCCCUCUGUUGCCCAGGCUGGAGUGCAGUGGCAUGAUCUUGGCUCUCUGCAACCUACACCUCCUGGGUACAAGCAAUUCUUGUGCCUCAGUCUCCUGAGUAGCUGGGAUUAUGGUAUGUGCCACCACGCCUGGCUAAUUUUUUGUUUUUUGUUUUUUGUUUUUUUUUUGAGACAGAGUUUUGUUCUUGUCACCCAGGCUAGAGUGCAAUGGUGUGAUCUCAGCUCACUGCAACCUCUGCCUCCUGGGUUCAAGCUAUUCUCCCGCUUCAGCUUCCCAAGUAGCUGGGACUACAGGCCCGGGUCACCACACCUGGCUAAUUUUUGUAUUUUUAGUAGGGAUGGAGUUUCACCAUGUUGGCCAGGGUGGUCUUGAACUCCUGACUUUGGGUGAUCUGCCUGUCUCGGCCUCUGAAUGUGCUGGGAUUACAGGCAUGAGCCACCGCACCUGGCUCAUCCACUGUUUUGAUCUGGGUGCCUGUCUACUUUUUCUGCCCGUCCAGCCUUUACAAGGUCAAUUCCCCAGGAGCGAGCGGUCAGAAGUAUUAAUUUUUUUGGUCACACACCCAAAAAUUUUGCUGUAGAGAGAGGUUUCACUGUGUUGCCCAGGCUGGCCUUGAACUCCUGGGCUCAUGUGAUUCUCCUGCCUCAGCUUCCUGAGUAGCUGGGACUACAGGUACACCUCAGUAUGUAUGUGUUUUGCCAGGCUGGUCUUGAACUCUUGGGCUCAAGCAAUCCUCCUGCCUUAGCCUCCCAAAGUGAUAGGAUUAUAGGUAUAAGCCACCACAGCUGACCUGUUUUUUUAUUUUUUAUUUUUUGUUUUUGAGACGAUGUCUUGCUCUGCCACCCACGCUGGAGUGCAGUGGUAUGGUCUCGGCUCACUGCACCCUCUGCCUGCUGGGUUCAAGUGAUUUUCCUGCCUCAGCCUCCUGAGUAGCUGGUAUUACAGGCAUCCACCAUCAUGCCCAGCUAAUUUUUGUAUUGGCGUAGAGACAGGGUUUUACCAUGUUGGCCAGGCUGGUCUUGAACUCUUGACCUCAGGUGAUCUGCCCGCCUCAGCCUCCCAAAGUGCUGGGAUUACAGGUGUGAGCUCCCACACCCGGCCUGACCUGUUUUUAUUUUAAUUUAAUUUAAUUUUAUUUUAAUUAUUUUGAGAUUAGGCUCCACUCGGUCGCCCAGGCUGGAGUGCAGUGGUGCAAUCACAGCUCAUUGCAGCCUUGACCUCCCAGGGUCAAGUGAUCCUCCCACCUCAACCUCCUGAGUAGCUGGGACUACAGGUUGGCACCACCACACCUGGCUAAUUUUAAAAAAUUUUGGGGGCUGGGUGCAGUGGCUCAUGCCUGGAAUCCCAGCACUUUGGGAGGCCGAGGCAGGCAGAUCACGAGGUCAGGAGUUCGAGACCAGCCUGGCCAACAUAGUGAAACCCAGUCUCUACUAAAAAUACAAAAAUUAAGCCGGGCAUGGUGGCGCACGCCUGUAAUCCUAGCUAGUCAGGACGCUGAGGCAGGAGAAUUGCCUGAACCCAGGAGGCGGAGGUUGUAGUGAGCCGAGAUCAUGCCACUGCACUCCAGCCUGGGCGACAGAGAGAGAGACUCAUCUCAAAACAAAACAAAACAAAAAAGUUGGCCAGGCGUGGUGGCUCACUCCUGUAGUCCCAGCACUUUGGGAGGCCGAGGUGGGCGGAUCAUGAGGUCAGGAGAUCGAGACCAUCCUGGCUAACAUGAUGAAACGCCAUCUCUACUAAAAAUACAAAAAAUUAGCCGGGCGUGGUGGUGGGCACCUAUAGUCUCAGCUACUUGGGAGGCUGAGGCAGGAGAAUGGCAUGAACCCGGGAGGCAGAAGUUGCAGUGAGCCGAGAUUGCGCCACUGCACUCCAGCCUGGGCGACAGAGUGAGACUCUGUCUCAAAAAAAAAAAAAAAAAAGGUUUUGUGGAGAUGAGGUCUUGUGGCUUGUGGUGUUGCCCGGGCUGGUCUUGAACUCCUGGGCUUAAGCCAUCCUCCCACCUCAGCCUCCCAGUGUUGGAAUUACAGGCAUGAGCCACGUGCCCGGCUGUCUUUGUUUUUUUUAUAUGAGGUCCUCUCUCCCUUAACAUGGAGAAGCAUUAAAAGUGUGGCCCCAGAUCCCUCUGUCCAGGAAGCCUCUGUGGACUGCCCCUUACUUUUCAUGAUGUCCAUGAUGUGGCGCUGCUGGAUGUUCGUCAGUUUGGAUUCCUUCAUCAUCACUGCACGACAAAGCAUUCUAUGAGGUCUCUUGGGCUGCAAGCGGAUGCCUUCACCUGACACCCUACUGAAAUUUAAAACCCUACAUCCUAGCCCCAUUCUGCACUGAGCAUGCCUUCUCUAUCUUUCCUGCUUUGUUUUUUCUAUAGCACUUACGACCACCUAAAAUUCUAUAUAUUUUAUUUUAUUGUUAUCCUUCUAUAUUAGCUGUAUGAUAAGAAUUUUUGCUGGUUUAAUAAAAUUUCUGCCCUCUGUUAAAUAUUUUUUCCUCUUUCUCUUUUUUUUUUUUUUUUUUUUUUUUUUUGAGAUGGAGCUUCCAUCUUGUUGCCCAGGCUGGAGUGCAGUGGCGCGACCUCAGCUCACUGCAAUCUCCACCUCCUGGGUUCAAGGAAUUCUCCUGCCUCAGCCUCCCGAGUAGCUGGGAUUACAGACAUGCGCCACCACGCCCGGCUAAUUUUGUACUUUUAGUAGAGACUGGGUUUCUCCAUGUUGGUCAGGCUGGUCGUGAACUCCUAACCUCAGGUGAUCUGCCCACCUUGGCCUCCCAAAGUGCUGGGAUUACCGGCUUGAGCCACCUCAUUUUCUUUCACUGCUGUAUCCCCAGCACCUAAAACAGAGUCUAAGGCACAUGGUAGACUUAAAAAUGCUGUUGUUGGAAAAAAACAAAAAAGUUGUUGAGUAAAAGAACACAUGAACACUUGUUCAUCAUGUUUCAGGGGCUGGAGCUACAAUUGUGAGCCGAAACAGGCACGGUUCCUGCCUGAUGAAAUUCAUGAUCUGGAGGGAUAGAUGGGACACCAAAUAACUGACUACAGCUUGUGCUAAGCCCAGUGAAGGAAAAUGUGUGAGGGCGCAUAACAGUUGAUCCUACUGUGGUGGUGAGGAGCAGAAGUCUUCCUCGGGAAAGUUGAAAGUAUGAUCUAAAGGAUGCAUAGGAGUUAACUACUCUAAAAAUUUUAGUUCUUUGACUUUUGGCAAGGUGUAGCACCUUGAACCUUCCCCUCCCCCCCGCCCCGCCCCGCCCCGCCCCCAACUAAGGCAUAUGCAGUAGAAUUUUGAAGCUUUCUGAACCCCAGGCUCCUUAUCUGUAAAGGAAAAUAGUGCUAAGCCAUAGGUCAGGUAUGGGGGAACUGAGUUACAGAGGGUAACUACCACCAUUCUUCUCUCAUCCUUUAACUCAGGGGUCCCCAACCCCCCGUCCGUGGACUGGUACCAGUCCCUGGCCUGUUAGGAACCGGGCCGCACAGCAGGAGGUGAGCGGCAGGCUAGCGAGCCUCACCGCCUCCUUUCAGGUCAGUGACGGCCUUAGAUUCUCAUAGGAGCGCGAACCCUAUUGUGAACUGCGCACGCGAGGGAUCUAGGUUGCACGCUCCUUAUGAGAAUCUAAUACCUGAUGAUCUGAGGUGGAACAGUUUCAUCCCGAAACCAUUCUCCACACCUCCGUCAGUGGAAAAAUUGUCUUCCACGAAACCGGUCCCUGGUGCCAAAAAGGCUGGGAUCGCUGCUUUAACGCACUGACCUCUGAGCAGCUCGCAGGUCCCCGGGGUGUAAGUGGUGGUCUUGGGGCGGCGCCGGAACCCAGUUCCUUUGGUCACUACCUCCAUCUGCUUCUGUGAAGCCAUGGGAGGACUCUGAGGAGGGAAAGACGCAAUGACACACCCCCUGUCUCCUGUCCCUAAUCUCUGUUCCCCGACGCCCAACACCCCCAGAAGUCUGGAAGCGGGGAUCGAGCCAGAGAAUGAUGCCGCCAGUUAAUAUUGCGACAGUGCCCAAACCUCCCAUCCAGACACACAGAUACACACACACAGUCCUCAUUCUGACCCAGCGCCUGUGGCAGGGAAGUCUCCUCGGGAGGGAGUGUUAACACAGCCAUGGUCACAACAGUACCCACUGAGUGAUAUGCCAAAAUUGAAAUUUCACCCUAAGACCCUCUCUGGGUGCUCCCCUCUCCACAUAGAAGUGGGCUCCCGGAGGCGGUGACCACUGCUUUACAGCCGCAUCCGCACCGGUGCCACGCAGAAAUACUGCGCGACCUGGGCUGCUGGAGCUGGCAGCUAGCGCCUCUGGCUACUAUAGAAACGCGCGCACACCAGUCAGCGCAUGCGCACUUUCCCCGCUCUGUCCUGCCUCCCGGAAGUGAUUUCCUCUGGGUUACGGCGCAGGCGCAAGAUAAGCUAGGAGCCGCGCGAGUCGUAGUGUCGCUGUUUGCGGGUCUCCGCGCGGGACCGGGGCGCAGCGGGGUCGCUGAGGCGAGGGUGUCAUGUCAGACAACGAGGACAAGUGAGUGCGGGAGCGGAGUGGCCUUUGCGGCAACCUUGGAAGGGGCGGAUGAGGCAAGGCUUGGGUCGGCUGAGGAGCCUGGCGUCUAGGGCAAUGUCUGAGGGGACUGGGGUCCUGAGGGGGCCGGCGGAGCCGAGGAAGGGAAGGGCGGGCGACCCAGGAGCACAGCCCCGGCUGGAGGCACAGGAGGGCCCAGGCUCGAGGGUCCAGAGGGGAUCCGUAGAAAAGGUGUCCUUCAGCAAAUGUUCCAGCGAGCCGGGCUCUGUGUCAUGCAGUGGGAAUAUUGAGGUGAAUGAACAAUCGUCCCUGCCUUUCCACGUGCUCACUUUCUAGAACAGGGGUCACAGGCCCAUAAGUAAGCAAGCAAGCAGGUAACGGUGGUCGCGUGAGCUUCCCCAGUUCUAGAAGUAUGUAGUAUAGGAGUACUCCAGAGGAGGGUCUGGGGCAGCUCCACCGGGUGGCAUUAAAUAAAAGUAUGGGACGGUCCUUUGCAGUAUUUUUUUUUUUUUUUGAAACAGAGUCUUGCUCUGUCGCCCAGGCUGGAGUGCAGUGGCGCGAUCUCGGCUCACUGCAGCCUCCGCCUCCGGGGUUCAAGGGAUUCUCCUGCCUCAGCCUCCCGACUAGCUGGGAUUAUGGGCGUGCACCACCACGCCUUGCUAAUUGUUUGUAGUUUUAGUAGAGACGGGUUUCACCAUGUUGGCCAGACUGGCCUCGAACUCCUGAGCUUGUGAUCCACCCGCCUCGGCCUCCCAAAGUGCUGGGAUCACAGGCGUGAGCCACCGUGCCCGGCCUGCUUGUAGUAAUCUAGAUGAGAGAAGUCAGUAGCUUAUAGUAGGGUGGUAGGAGUAGAGGUGGUGAGAACUGGUUUUGAAUUCUGGAUAUAUUACUGUUUUAAAGAUAGAGCCCAAAAAUUACCUGUUGGAUGUGUGGGUGCAAAGAGAGCUAGUCUGAGGAUAAAAAUAAGAAACGUGUGGGAUUGCUACCGCAUUCCCAGUGAGUGUCAGUAGAGAAGAGGAGAUGACCCGUGGCUGAGCAUUAGGGCAUUUGGACAUUGAGUGCUUGGGGGAAAAGAGAAGCCGGGGAGGUGGGGGAACACCAAGAGGGUGAGGUGUCCUUGGAGUCAAGUGAGGAGAGCAAGUGGCCUAAUGUGCCAGCUGAUAGAUCAGGCUAAAUGAGAAGGAGAGUUGGCCAUUGGAUUUAGCAACGUGGAGAUCAUUAAUGAGCUUGGAAAGUGGUUUUGAUGGAGCUGUUGGGGUGAAAGGCUUUUUGGAGUGAGAUUAUGACAAAAUGGGAAGAGGAAGAUAGUGAGGGUGGACAGCUCUUUCACACAUUUUUGCUUCAAAGGACACCAUGGAAUUAGGGCUAUAGGGGGAGAGAGAAGAGAAAUAAGGGUUUUUUGUUUGUUUGUUUUUGUUUUUUUAGAUGAGGAAAAGCACAUGUUGAAAUGCUGAUGGGGCCGGGUGCUGUGGCUUACACCUCUAAUCCCAGCACUUUGGGAGGCCGAGGAGGGUGGAUCACCUGAGGCCAGGAGUUCGAGACCAGCCUGGUCAACAUGGUGAAACCCCAUCUUUACUAAAAAUACAAAAAUUAGCUGGGCAUGGUGGCGUGUGCCUAUAAUCCCAGCUACUCGGGAGGCUGAGACAGGAGAAUUGCUUGAACCCAGGAGGCGGAGGUUGCAGUGAGCCAAGAUCACGCCAUUGCACUCCAUCCUGGACAACAGAGCGAGACUUUGUCUCAAAAAAAAAAAAAAAUGCUGAUGGGAAUGAUCCAGUAGAGAGGGAAACAGUGAUGACGAAUGAGUACUAGCAAUAUUUGGGGGCAGAUGGGGAAAAAUUGAAGGGGUAAAAUGGAACAAAAGUCGGAUUUACUUCUUCUUCUUCUUCUUAUUUUUUAUUUUUUGAGAAGGAGUCUCACUGUGUCACCCAGGCUGGAGUGCAGUGGGGUGACCGUGGCUCAGUGCACCCUCCGCCUCUCGGGUUCAAGCAAUUCUUGUGCCUCAGCCUCCUGAGUAGCUGGGAUUACAGGCGCCCACGACCACACUCGGCUAAUUUUUUUGUAUUUUUAGCAGAGACGAGAUUUCUCCAUGUUGGCCAGGCUGGUCUUGGACUCCUGACCUCAAGUGAUGCACCCACCCCGGCCUCUCAAAGUGCUGGGAUUACAGACGUGAGCCACUGCACCCAGCUGAUUUACUUAUUAAGUAAAUAUUUAUUGAGUGCUUCCUACACACUGGGCGAGACACAGAUCUCUGCCCUCUUUGAUUUUUUUGUUUGUUUGUUUUUUGUUUUGCGGUGGCGGGGGGUUUUUGAGACGGAGUUUCACUCUUGUUGCCCAGGCUGGAGUGCAAUGGCGUGAUCUCAGCUCACCACAACCUCCGCCUCCUGGGUUCAAGUGAUUCUCCUGCCUCAGCCUCCCAAGUAGUUGGGAUUACAGGCAUGUACCACCACCACUCCCGGCUAAUUUUGUAUUUUUAGUAGAGAUGGGGUUUCAUCAUGUUGGUCAGGCUGGCCUUGAACUCCACCCGCCUUGGCCUCCCAAAGUGCUGGGAUUACAGGCUUAAUCCCAGAGCCACAAUACAAAGCCACCAUGCCCGGCCUCUGAAUUUUUUUUUUUUUAAUUUUUCUUAUUUAUUUUGAGACAGGUCCUUGUUCUGUCACCCAUGCUGGAGUACAGCGGUGCAAUCUUGGCUCGCUGCAACCUCCACCUCCUGGGUUCAAGCAAUUCUUGUGACUCAGCCCCCCAAGUAGCUGGUAUUACAGACAUGUGCCACCAUGCCCGGCUAAUUUUUGUAUUUUUAGUAGAGAUGGGGUUUUGCCUUGUUGGCCAGGCUGGUCUUGAAUUCCUGGCCUCAAGUGAUCCACCCACUUCAAUCUCCGAAAGUACCAGGAUUACAAGUGUGAUCCACCGUGCCCGGCCCCUCUUUGAUUCUUUUAAGUGAUGCUCUAAGUAAUUGAUCUCUUCUUCCUGUACAGUUUUGAUGGCGACGACUUUGAUGAUGUGGAGGAGGAUGAAGGGCUAGAUGACUUGGAGAAUGCCGAAGAGGUCAGUAUUCAGCCUCAGGCUCCCACCUCUGCAGCCCAAGCUGCCAAAUCGUCUGGCAGGUGAUGAUUAGCUGAAUGUGUCUGCCUUCUAUUUGUGGUCAAGGCCCCUGCCAUAAGCAUUCCCAGUUAAGAGUGAGCUGUGUUCCAGUCUUGCAUAGCAGAACAGCCCUGCAGGGUGGGCCUGAAAGCUUUUGUCCAUGUGGUCCACAGCCUGUGGCUUCUGGGGCAGUUAGUUCACUGACAAGUUAAACAGUGCCUUCCUUCAUUUGGCAAACAUGUGUUGAAUGUUUAUUAUAUGCCAGGUGCUUUCUGCUGGGUGGGACUGCUUAAGGAGCAAAGGGAAGAGGUAAGCAGGGCUCAGAUGAGGCAGUAUUUUGUAGCCUAAAGGCAAUGGGAAGCUACUGACAAACUUUGAGCCAGGGCACAGUCCAGGUUACAUUUUAGAAAGUACAUUCCUGCCUCGAGUAAGGAGUGAACUGGGGAAGGGCAAGAGUGAAAGGUGAGAGGCCUGUGGCUUGGACAUAGGUGCUGGUAGUGCAGGUGAUGAGAAGGCAGAUGAAAGAGUUAUUUCGGUGGGUUGGUUAUGGGGCUGAGAAAGUCAGUGGUGACGAGGACGACUCUCAGGUUUCUGGCUUGAGCAACUAGGUGGAUAGGUUGCCAGCCUCAAGAGGAAAGUAGGGCUUUCUGUCCUGUGUGACUGAUGAGGGAAAAAAUGCAGUUAUGUUCUGGAGAGACAUGGAGCCUUCUCUCUCUCUGCAUGGCACUUUCAGAUACCUUUUCACUUGAGUCAGAUGCGUCCUUCUCCAUCCUUCUGGUCCCCUUCCCAUCCCUGUCAUGUAGAUUGUGCCUCCUAGAUGUACUUCAGCCCUGUCUGCAUUUUUCUACUCCUGGUGCCUUAACCUGGCUUAGAUCUUAUUGCUUUUCACUCACAUUCCUGCAGGAAUUGUGUGGCUGGUUUUCCUGCUUCAGUCUCACUCCAGACUCUGCUCUGUGUGCUCUUCUCCUUUCAGCACCCUUUCUUACUUGCCCACAUGCUCAGUUACUACUGGCUUUCCUAAAUGGCCUCUCUGCUUCUGCCACUGCCCCCUGCAGAAUAUUCGCAACAGAGUAUCCAGAGUGAUCCUUUCUUUCUGUUUUUUUUUUUUGUUGUUGUUGUUGUUUGUUUGCUUGUUUUAAAUUAAGAAGUGGUGUCUUGCUACGUUGACUAGGCUAGAGUACAAUGGCUAUUUUCAGGUGUGGUCAUAGCGCACUACAGCCUUGAACUCCUGGGCUCAAGUGAUCCUUCCAGUUCGGCCUCCUGAGUAGCUGGGACUGCAGGUUCUGCACCACCAUGCCCAGCUCAGAGUCAACUUUUUUUUUUUUUUUUUUUGGAGACGGGGUCUUGCUCUGUCGCCCAGGCUGGAGCGCAGUGGGGCGAUGUUGACUCACUGCAAGCUCUGCUUCCCGGGUUCAUGCCAUUCUCCUUCCUCAGCCUUCUGAGUAGCUGGGACUACAGGUGCCCACCACCACGCCCGGCUAAUUUUUUUUUUUUUUGUAUUUUUAGUAAUGACGGGGUUCACCGUGUUGGCCAGGAUGGUCUCGAUCUCCUGCCUUGUGAUCCGCCCGCCUCGGCCUCUCAAAGUGCUGGGAUUACAGGUGUGAGCCACUGCGCCUGGCCUGUUUACUUAAUUCUUUAUAUACCACAGAAUUUAUUCUCUUGCCUACAAUCCUCUACACACCUUUUGUUCUAAUUAUUGUCCACAACUAGUUGUCCAAACCUCUUUCUCCUCUAUGCCUUUGCAUGUUGCCUCCUUCCUCAUUGGUUUGACAGCUCCUGCUCAUCCUUCUAGGUGAGCUCAAGUCUCAUCCCUGGAGUUUUCCUAACCCCCAGUGUGAGUGAGGUGUCCCCACCUCCUCGGGAACUCUGUUGCACCCUUCAUAGCACCUGCUCUGUUUACUCUUGUCUCCCCUUUAGACCAUUAAUUGAGAGCGGAAAUUUCUAGCUUGCUUUCUCAGCAUCUGUUAACAAUAUCUGGCUCAGGACAAAUGCUUAGUAAGUAAUUGUUAAAUAUUCCUGCCUUCACCUUGACUUUUCUAGCCACUUGACCCAUUGGCUCAGCUCCCCUAUCUGAAAGAUGGGGAGACUAUUCCUAGCUUCCUGCUUAGGGUAAUUUUUUUGUGCCAGGACCUCUUUUACAGGACCAACAUUCUGAUACCACCCCAUCUCCAGGCCCUCUGCUCUCUUCUGGAUGAGGCAGUUAGCUCUGGAAUCUCAGACCUCCAUUACCAGGUCUGAGGCUUGGUCAGGUUAGCUGACUUUCCAAGCCUCUGAAAUGAGAACUGUAAUCCCUGCCUCAUAAGGUUAUUGUAAGGAUUACAUGAGUUGUUAGGAAGCAGUUAUGCGGUCCCCUGGCAUGCAGUAAGCAUUAACGGUGGCUGUAGCGAGGAUUGUGAUUGUUGUCAUUAUCACCCUCCCUGUAACCCAAAAAUGCCACCUGAGACUUUCCCUCUUUUUUGUCUUGGUGUCCAGGAAGGCCAGGAGAAUGUCGAGAUCCUCCCCUCUGGGGAGCGACCGCAGGCCAACCAGAAGCGAAUCACCACACCAUACAUGACCAAGUACGAGCGAGCCCGCGUGCUGGGCACCCGAGCACUCCAGAUUGCGUGAGUGAUUGCCCCUUCACUGUCUUCUCCAUCUGUCAGGCCACAGUAAGCUCUUGUACCACUGAUCUUUCCCAGCCUGGCACCUGAAAACAGACUCUCUGCUCUCACAUUCCAAAAGUGGUGCCGUCCCUGCGUACCAGGCAUUGAGCUAGUCCCCUGCCCUCAGGGAGCUUGUGAUCUAAUAGGAGAACUAGGACAUGAACAUCUGAGAAGUCAAGUAACAGUAUGGGAGAAAAACGAUAAAAAAAAAAAACCAGAACUAGAUGGUUGCCUGUCAGAUUAGUGUAGCAAAAAAGGUGAAUUCAGAGCCAAUGUGUACCAGUGUGGUUUUUUUUUUUUUUUUUUGAGAUAGAGUCCCGCUGAGUCACCUAGGCUGGAGUGCAAUGGCACAAUCUCAGCUCACUGCAACCUCUGCCUCCCAGGUUCAAGUGAUUCUCGUGCCUCAGCCUCCCAGGUAGCUGGAAUUACAGGCAUGUGCCACCAUGCCUAACUAAUUGUUGUGUUUUUAAUAGAGACGGGGUCUCGCCAUGUUGCCUAGGCUAGUCUCGAACUCCUAGCUUCAAGUGAUCCACCUGCCUCUGCCUCCCAAAGUGUUGGGAUUGCAGGUGAGAGCCACCGCGCCCGGCCAUGUUGGUUCUUUGUUGUUUUAUUUUCUGAGUCAAGAUCUCAAUCUGUUGCCCAUGCUGGAGCACAGGGGCCUGAUCAUGGCCCAUUGCAGCCUCAAACUCCUGGGCUCAAGCAAUUUUCUUUUCUUUUUUUUUUUUUUUGACAGAGUCUUGCUCUGUCUCCCAUGCUGGAGUGCACUGGCCCAAUCUCAGCUCAAUACAACCCCUGUCUCCCGGGUUCAAGCGAUUGUCCUGCCUCAGCCUCCCGCGUAGCUGGGACUACAGGCAUCCGCCACCACACCUGGCUAAUUUUUGUAUUUUUUCUUUUUUUUUUUUUUUUUUUUGAGAUGGAGUCUCGCUCUAUCACCCAGCCUGGAGUGCAGUGGCGUGAUCUCUGCUCACUGCAAGUGCUGCCUCCUGGGUUCACGCCCUUCUCCUGCCUCAGCCUCCACAGUAGCUGGGACUACAGGCGCCCGCCACCACGCCCAGCUAGUUUUUUGUAUUUUUAAUAGAGACGGGGUUUCACCAUGUUAGCCAGGAUGGUCUCUUUCUCCUGACCUCAUGAUCCACCCGCCUCGGCCUCCCAAAGUGUUGGGAUUACAGACGUGAGCCACCGUGCCCGGCUAUUUUUGUAUUUUUAGUAGAGACGGGGUUUCACCAUAUUGGCCAGGCUGGUCUCAAACUCCUGACCUUGUGAUCCACCCGCCUUGGCCUCCCAAAGUGUUGGGAUUACAGGCGUGAGCCACCGUGCCCGGCUGGUGCGAUUUUCUUUUUUCUUUUUUUUUUUUUGAGAUGGAGUCUCGCUCUGUCGCCCAAGCUGGAGUGCCGUGGCGUGAUCUCGGUUCACUGCAAUAUCCGCCCCCUAGGAUCACGCCAUUCUCCUGCCUCAGCCUCCCGAGUAGCUGGGACUACAGGUGCCCACCACAACGCCUGGCUAAUUUUUUUGUAUUUUUAGUAGAGACGGGGUUUCACCAUGUUGGUCAGGCUGGUCUCGAACUCCUGACCUCGUGAUCCACCUGCCUUGGCCUCCCAAAGUGCUGGGAUUACAGGCGUGAGCCACUGCGCCCAGCCUAUUUAUUUUUUUUUUUGAGAAGGAGUCUCACUCUGUCACCCAGGCUGGAGUGCAGUGGUGUGAUCUCGGCUCACUGCAUCCUCCGCCUCCCGGGUUCAAGUGAUUCUCCCACCUGAGCUUCCCGGGUAGCUGGGAUUACAGGCACCCGCCACCACGCCUGGCUAAUUUUUGUAUUUUUAGUAGGGACGGGGUUUCACCAUGUUCGUUGGCCAGGCUGGUCUUGAACUCCUGAUCUCAGGUGAUCCUCCUGCCUCAGACUCCCAAAGUACUGGGAUUACAGGCAUGAGCCACCACGCCCAGCCUUUUCUUUUAUUUUUUUAGAGACAGUUUGGCUCUAUCACCCAGGCUGGAGUGCAGUGGUGCUAUCAUAGCUCACUGCAGCCUCAAAACUUCUAGGCUUAAGUGAUCUUCCCACUUCAGCCUCCCAGGUAGCUAGGACUACAUACAGGCUAAUGCCACCACACCUGGCUAAUGUCUUAAUUUUUUGUAGAGACAGGGUCUCACAAAAAGACUCCUGGCUUCCAGUGAUCCCCCUGCUUCAGCCUUCAAAGUGCUGGGAUUACAACUAGCCACAUUUCAAGUGUGUUCAGUAGCCACAUGUGGCUACUGGUUACCAUAAAGGAUAGCACAGGGGGAUAGGACAUUUCUGUCAUUGCAGAGCAUUCUAUGGGGCACACUAAUAUAGGCUAAAAGUGGUCCAGUAGAAAGAAGAAUUCAUAAGUUAUUUUUAAAACAAAUAGACUGCUUAUUUGCAAGUUAAACAGUCUUUCAGCACUGAAGAAAGAUACUGCAUUAGCACUUGAUAGGAUGCUGAGAUGAUUAAAGAUGUAGUCCCAGCCGGGCGCGGUGGCUCACACCUGGAAUCCGAGCACUAUGGGAGGCCAAGGUGGGCGGAUCACCUGAGGUCAGGAGUUCGAGAGCAGCCUGGCCAACAUGGUGAAACCCCGUCUCUACUAAAAAUACAAAAAUUAGCCGGGUGUGGUGGCAUGCGCCUAUAAUCCCAGCUACUGGGGAGGCUGAGGCAAGAGAAUCGCUUGAACCUGGGAGGCAGAGGUUGCAGUGAGCCAAGAUCGCGCCACUAAUCCAGCCUGGGUGACAGAGUGAGACUCUGUUACCAAAAAUAAUUAAAAAAAAAAAAAAAGACAUAAUCCCCAGUCCUCCAGGUGUUUUCUGGUGGGGGAGAUAGACCUGUGCACAGGUACCCACAACCCAAGGCAGAUGCGAGUGGUGCUUUAUGAAAGGUACAAAGAGAGUUAUUGCAGAGGUGACUGGGAAAGCCUUGUGAAGGGAUUAGAAUUCUAGUGGGGACAGGUAAAGAGAGUUGGUUUUGUGGGUACUUCAGGUGCCAGAAACAGCCCAAGGAAAGGUCCAGGUGGAGGCAGGCAGUUGUGGAUUUGUGAUGAGGGAUCAUAAGCAGCUUGGGGCAUAAGGCUGGAGAAGAUGACACUGGUCCUGUGAGUGACAAGUUCAGAAGAUUAGAGUUCAUUUGGUGGGCAGUGUGCAGCACUUAAAGGUUUUGAGGCCGACAUCCAGCAUCCAGGCCACUCAUAAAUCCAAGUGUCCUGUUUUUCUUUUCUUUCUUUCUUUUUUUUUUUUUUUUUGAGAUGGAGUUUUGCUCUUGUUGCCCAGGCUGGAGUGCAAUGGCAUGAUCUUGGCUGAUUGCAACCUCUGCCUCCUGGGUUCAAGGAAUUCUCCAGCCUCAGCCUCCUGAGUAGCUGGGAUUACAGGCACACACCACCAUGCCUGGCUAAUAUUUUGUAUUUUUAGUAGAGACGGUGUUUCACCAUGUUGGUCGGGCUGGUCUCGAACUCGUGACCUCAGGUGAUCCACCUGCCUUGGCCUCCCGAAGUGCUGGGAUUACAGGCAUGAGCCACUGUGCCCAGCCAAGUGUCCUGUUUUUCUUGGGGAGCAAAGCUUGAUCCAGCUCAUUCCAGUCUUUAGUGCUCUUUCCACUUAAGGGCUAUGACACCAUCUGGUGGCUCCUUGCCUGCUGUAAGCUCUUGUACAGCCAUAAUGGGACUCUGCACUUGGUAGGUGCAGAUGGAGUCUCACUCUCUCACCUAGGCUGGAGUGCAGUGGUGCCAUCUCGGCUCACUGCAACCUUCACCUCCUGGUUCAAGCGAUUCUCGUGCCUCAGCCUCCUGAGUACCUGGGACUACAGGCAUGUGCCACCACAGCCGGCUAAUUUUUUGUAUUUUUAGUAGAGACGGGGUUUCACCAUGUUGGCCAGGCUGGUCUCAAACUCCUGACCUCAGGUGAUUCGCCUGUCUCAGCUUCCCAAAGUGCUGUGAUUACAGGCGUGAGCCACUGCACCUGGCCAGAACAACUGUUUCUUGGGUAGGUUUUGGAUGGGGUUUCAGUCUGGUUCGUUAGCACCACCUGGUGGCUGAUGAUGUUGGUCACAUCUACUUCUUAACUGGAUGGUUGAUGUGUUUCUCUGUAGAAGCCAUGGUGCAAGAAAAAUUAAAUUACUUAAGGACACAUUCUUGCACAUUGCAUGUGCACAAUAGGUGCGGAAUGAGUGAAUGCCCUUGAAUUAUUUAUAUUUUGAAAGAAAGCAGGCAUAUGCAGAUCAGGUAUUUUGCCACAUUCUUUAAAGCUUUAUAUUUUGGGAAAGUUUAAAUACUUAUUAAGAGAGGAUAUAGGGAAAGUUAAAUACUUCAUCUCUGCCCUUGGGAAAUUUUCAGGCUUUUGGGAGUAAUAUAAAUCGAAAUAUUUAGUAAUAAAAUUAGUAAGCUGGUAGCUCUCAGACUAGCUGAUUAUCAGAAUCUUCUGGGCAGUUUUGCAAAUGCAGGCUCUCAGGCCGCUUCACUAGAGAUUCUAUUCAGGGGGUCUGGGGAAGGACCCAGGAACCUGUAUUUUUUAGCAGGCUCUCCUGUUAAUUCUGGGUGUGUUGGUGUGAACCUGAGCUGGAAUCAUCAGGGGUGGCUUCCUAGAGGAGAUGGGCCUAGAAUUGGCAUCCCUUUGCUUGGUGGUAGAGUCCCCACUGUGGGCCAAGUGUUAUGCUGGGGGCUGGGCCUCCGUGGUGAAUCACAUGUGGUUCUGGGCCACUAGGAGCUCAUGGUCUAAUGUGGAAAGUUUCCAAACAAGUAGUUACAGUUCAAUGAGAUUGGUGCCAAGAAAAGUAUAUGCAAAAUGAGUCCAGGUACUGAAGAGUCAGCACACGAUUUCCAGGGUGGAAACAUCCGAACCUCUCGCAGGUUUUUAGGGAGAGGAAGAGCUUGUAAGAGCACACAAAAGGGAAACAACAUGGUGCAUCUAGGGAACCAGAAAUAGUUUGGUAUGGCUGGAAUGUGGGGUAAAUACAGGAAAGUAGCACGGGACUGUGCUAGGAAGGCAAACAGGGACCAGACUGCACUCUGGCCUGAUAGCCAAGGGGAGUCAUGGCAGUGUUGUAAGCAGGUGAGCCCCCUGACUGCUGGCCUCAGGUGAAGGGUGGGGAGGGCUGGGCAGGAAGGGCAGGGCCUCUACUGAGGUGUUGUGUCUAUAGAGAAUGGAAAUGACGCCGGGCACGGUGGCUUAUGCCUUUUAUCCCAGCAAUUUGGAAGGCUGAGGCAGGUGGAUUGCUUGAGCCCAGGAGUUUGAGACCAGCCUGGGCAACAUGGCGAAAUGUUAAUUUCACCCAUCUAUACAAAAAAUACAAAAAAUUAGCAUAGCUGGUGGUGUAUGCCUGUAGUCCCAAGCAGGAGAAUUGCUUGAGCCUGGGAGGUGGAGGUUGCAGUGAGCCAAGAUCUCGCCAUUGCACUCCAGUCUGGGCAAUGGGAGUGAAACCUUGUCUCCAAAAAAUAGAGAGAGAAAAUAGAAAUUGAAAUGAGGUGCACUGGGCACUGAGGCAAGGCUCUGGGGUUGGAGCAGUUAGAAUGGUGUGCCUUUGCACAUGUCUCCCUUUCCACCAGGACAUUCUGCUGUGGCCGCUGGACUCUGGAGUCUGUGAUAGGCCUCUGCCAGGGAAGAUCUCUGGCAGUGCCCCUACACACCACUCCCUACUGUGCCUGCCUACCUAGAAGAUGACGUUUCUAGGUGGGGACCAGGAUGCCGUUCCACCCUCACUGCCUGUUGGGCCCUUCUCCCUGGGUUUGCAGUUUCCCUAACACCUGUCCCUAUCCCUACAGGAUGUGUGCCCCUGUGAUGGUGGAGCUGGAGGGGGAGACAGAUCCUCUGCUCAUUGCCAUGAAGGAACUCAAGUAAGUCACUCAAAUCAUGGUUCACUUCUCCAAAUCUCUGGGAGGCAUCUGUUGGGCUCUCUGUUGCACCCUUUGCUCCCACUUCCCUGGCUGGAGAAGUUUAUGCUUAUUCCUACAGAUCCUUAGGAACAGCUCACCAGGAAGUAGGAGGAAGAGAGAAGAGGAGGCAGGGAAAGUGGGAGGGCACUGAUGAGACACGGACGUCUUCUGGCUGUUGGAACUUCCCUGUUCCUGCUGCAGGAGUCCUUACCAAUAUUCUGUCAUUCUUCCCCCUCUUGUCUGAUAUAAAAACUUUCUUUUUCUUGUAAUUGCUUUCUUACAAAGUACACUCAUCAGCCCCAAGAGGCUGCUCCUAAGACUUCUCUUUGCUUGUGUUUUGCACACAAUCUGUUCCUUCUGCGGCAGAGCUGGGGUCACCAGCCCUCAUGUACUUGUGACUUCUCCCCUGCCACAGGGCCCGAAAGAUCCCCAUCAUCAUUCGCCGUUACCUGCCAGAUGGGAGCUAUGAAGACUGGGGGGUGGACGAGCUCAUCAUCACCGACUGAGCUGGAGUCAUCUUCCUGCCCUUGCCCCAUGCCCAAUUUUCAUUCUCACUUUAUAUGUGUAAAUAAUAAAAUAUUCAACUUUCCAACCCCCUUCCCCUCUGCUUAUCUGCAAUGUCACCACCUGUUGCUUCCCUGUUACCGCCAUGCUGCGUGGAGCAUGCACCUAUUCCAGUGGCCCUGUGACUGUCAGCUCCUUAAGAAGCACCAGGGGCCCUUAGCCCCUUUGGAUCCCCCACAUCCUUCCCUCCAUCUCCCUGUUCCCCAGAGCAAAGGCUGCUGCAGGGGAGACACCUCAGCUGCCUUCCAAGCAGACAGACAAGUCUUUGUGCCCAGGGAGCUGGUUGCCACGGAAACCCCCAAUUUCCUUUCCAGUGGGGACUGGCUGCAGGGGCUUCUCCCUUCUCAGGAGUAUCACAGAGCAGGUCUCAUCAAGCCACCCAUUGUUUCCUAAGGACCUGCUUCGAACCUCUUAUCGUGGGCUCGGAUCCCCUUUCAGGAGCAGUGCCCCAGCAGGAAGCGUGGGGGUGUGCUGAUCUCCCACCCUCCCCAGGCAGAGCCCUGCUGGGCAAGUCAGCAGCUGGAGCAAGGACCGAGCACCUGCCUACCCCUGCCCCCAUGGCUCUGUCCCCACUCCUCCUCAGGACUCUGCCCACACGCUGUCCUCUGUGGCCCACCUCUUUGGUGUGCCACACCCAUGCCUUCUUCCUAGCCUCUAUAACAUAUCCUUUCCCUCCUAUUUGGGGCUGGUGAUCCCCUGAGGCCUUGGGGAGAUGGUGCUGGGGUGGUGGUGCUCCUGGGUUCCAGGUGUUACAUUAAGUCAGAGCUGGAGCUCCCCCUUCCUCUGCCUGAGGUUCUAAUGGGUCCUCUUCCUUUCUCCACCCUGCUUACCCAACCUGACGUAAGACCAGUCACACUGGCUCCUCCCUCCUAGAGGGGGUCAGGGGGAGGGUGUAUAUUGACAUGAACAGGGAUAGAGGGUAAACUGGCUCCCUGAAUAUGCCAGCCUUCACCUCCAUUCCACUGCCAGCUCCCCUUCCAAGAGGAGGAGCUGGGCUUCCCUAACCUCUGCAGGAGGCAGGGCCUCCAGGCCUGGGUGCAGCCUGGCCCUGGGAUGGGGUGUGGGGAGUGAAUGGUGAGGAUCUGCAUUGGUGGGAGGGGUGUCUGCUGCCCUGGAGAAGGGUUAAUUCAGGGAGCAGUGGACUUCACACCCCCAUCCACCCUCCUCCAAGCCUGUGGAAUCCUUUAAUCAAGUUGGGUGCUGAAAUUUCAGCUCUGAAAUGCCGCCUUUGUGCUGGCAUCCAGGCAGCCGCCCCAGAGUGCGGGGGUCACUUUCUCGGCCCCAUUUCUCUAAAUGGUCUCUUUGUUCCCUGCUGGGCUGCUCAGUAUCAGAUGUGAUUAAAGGGAGAUGGGGUUUGGGCUGGGGAGGAGGGGAAUUGGGGGUUAACCCUUAGGGGAUAGAGUGCAAGGGAAAUGGGACAGAAGGGGUGUUUUUCCUCCUGUCUUCCUCUUCCCAUUCUCCUCUUUUGGGGAGUCCCCUGCUAUUCAGCUGUCUGGGCCUGGCUUUUGACUUCUCUUGAAUAAAAUGUCCCGGUCACCACUAUUGGUUCUGUUUUCUUAGGGUUUGGGCAUAGUCUCUUGAGUCAUUUCCAGAAACACCUGACCCUUUUUUAACAAGUGGAGCUCCUGCCUUCCUGAGGCCUGUGCACACUUGGAACCUUUGGUCUAAGGGAUGCACACAACCCAGGUCUUCUGACUUCCUUGGGGUCAUUUCCCCUCCUUCCACAUCCUCAGUGAUUUCCCACUCAAUCUCAUGAGAUGUGGGGUCUUGGAGGUGAUAGUGUCAUCUUCUGGAUGUGCCCCCUGCUCCCCACCGUGCCAGCUCCAUAUCCCUCAUCCCACUGCGAGCAGGAGUAGUGAACAGACCACAAAUGGACAAAAGUCCUGCCUUUCAAUGAAGGGGAAGGGGUGGGUUGUAAAGAUUAUAAACACAUAAGGUUAGUACUGAUUGAUCCAUGACAAAAUUCUAGAAUAGGUCCCUCCAUGUUUAAAAGUGCUUAUAUAAUAAAGAGGAGAUCGGGCGCUAGCAUAGGGUGUCUAAGAACCAAUAUUGCCAAAUAAGUGUUUUUUUCGAUGGUUACUGGUCCAGUAGGUUGAGGGAAUGCCAGAGAUCAGUGAAUCUUGAUUUUGACAAGGCAUCGGUAGUCUCCAUGCCACUGUGACAGAGAAGUGUGUGCUUCAUGGUGAUGUAAUUAGACAGUUUUAGAACUGAUUAGACAGCCUCAAGAGUGGAGAUAAUAGCUGGGCGUGGUGGCUCACACCUGUAAUCCCAGCACUUUGGGAGGCUGAGGUGGGCGGAUCACGAGGUCAGGAGAUCAAGACCAUCCUGGCUAACAUAGUGAAACCCCGUCUGUACUAAAAAAUACAAAAAAUUAGCCGGGUGUGGUGGCGGGCGCCUGUAAUCCCAGCUACUCGGGAGGGUGAGGCGGGAGAAUGGCGUGAACCCGGGAGGCAGAGCUUGCAGUGAGCCGAGAUCCUGCUACUGCACUCCAGCCUGGGCGACAGAGAGAGACUCUGUCUCAAAAAAAGAGUGGAGAUAAGAGGCCAGGUGCGGUGGCUCACGCCUGUAAUCCCAGCACUUUAGGAGGCCGAGGCAAGUGGAUCAUGAGGUCAGGAGAUUGAGACCAUCCUGGACAACAUGGUGAAACCCCAUCUCUACUUAAAAAAAAAAAAAAAAAAUUAGCUGGGCGUGGUGGUGCAUGCCUGUAGUCCCAGCUACUCAGGAGGCUGAGGCAGGGGAAGCACUUGAACCCAGGAGACAGAAGUUGCAGGGAGCCAAGAUUGCAACAUUGCACUCCAGCCUGGCAACAGAGCAAGACUCCAUCUAAAAAAAAAAAAAAAAAGAGUGGAGAGAAUAGGACUGACAGUGGAGAGAGGCGUUUAGUGCUGUACACAGGUGUCCCUCUUCAUUUCUACCUUUAUUAGUGACUUGAAUGAGGCUAUUCAAGUUUGCAGAUACAUAAAGCUCUAAAGGAGAGCUAAGUUCUAAAAAGUUUAAUACAGGUGGGGAAAUGGGUCAAACCCAACAAGGUGAGAUCUGUUAAAGAUCAGUGUAAAGUCCUGCUUUUAUCUAAAACAAAACAAAAACAGCAUACAUACAAUUUGGAUAUGACUUUGCAAUGGAUAUUGUCUAAAAGAUCGGGGUUUCGGUUACCAUCCAGCUUCACGGGAACCAGCAGUUUUGGGGAGGUUGCUUGAAGAGCUUCCAUGAUGCAGGUCCUAGAUGGAGGGAUUUUGGCCACCCUGGGGACUGGGCUACUUCUUGGUGCCCUGCCUCUCCCCUGGUCCUGACUAGGGGCUGGAGACCACAGAUGGAAGGAAGGAAGCUGAGGAUGCCCAGUCUGGAGCAGUGGAAGAUGCAUUGCUCCAGAUACAAAGCAGAAGUAGGGGCUGCAAACCACAGGCAGGUGGAGGGGAUGAUGGUUAAAAAUGCAAGCCUUGGAGUCAGAGCUGGGUUCAGAUUCUGGCACCAGCACUUCUUAGCAUCAACCUCGCAAACUUCAGUUUCCCCAUCUGGAAAAUUGAGAUAACGAUCGGACCUACCCCUUCCCUGGCCUGAAUGACAUAAAACCCUUGGUGGAGCACUUAGUAAAUGGCAGCUGGAUAUAAGCUGUUAUGAGCUGGGUAUGAGGAAGAACUUCCAACCAUCGGAGUUGUUCAUCAGUGGAGCAAGAUGGCAAAGAGUCCUUGGAGUUGUGUGCUUGUGAGGUGGAGUGGUCCUGGCCUCUGGGUGCAGUUUGGACUUCUGCUGAGGAAAGAGCUCUUAGGGAGUAGGCGCUUAAGGAGUAGACUGUCUGACAUCCUUGGUCUAGACUUGGACAGGGGCACCUGCUGUGAAGGCUUGGCUAGAUCCUGGCGUGGGCUGCUGUGUGUGUGCUGGGGGAGGUGGCAAGUGGGGGGAUGCAGCAACACAGGGCCUAUCCACACAUCCUGAAGGACAGGCCUCUGACUGCAGGCAGCACGGUGUCACCCUCAGCCCACCUCCUCCUCUUCAGAUACCUGUCUCUUGAAUUCUUUGCAAACUCCCCUCUGCUGAGUGCUGGGUGAGCAGAGGGGCUGCUUGCAAGGCAGUGAGUUCUAGCUGAGCCAGUUAAGAGUGAGUGGCCCCCCUGCAGUGUGGGGCACAGCCGGGCUGGGGAGAAGUUCCCAUCUGAGGCUUCAGUCCCUGAGCUCAGAUGGACCCCACUGGGAUGCCAGCUGUCCUAACACUCUCCAUUGUUCCCACUUUCUUAGCAGGGAGAGAGACAGAAAGAGAGAGAGGAGAGUGGGAGGGGGGAGAGAGAGAGAAAGAAAGGAGAGGGGGAGGGGGGAGAGAGAGAGAAAGAGAGGAGAGAAGGGAGGGGGGAGAGAGAGGAGGGGGGGAAGAGAGAGGAGGGGGGAGGGGAAGGGGGUGGGGAAAGAGGGAGGGAGGUGGGAGAGAGAGACCUUUGAUGAUCUGUCCUUUGCAUUCUACUCCUAGCUACUUCCAGAAAGCAUUUGAGGAAGCACCAGUACAGGGAUAAGAGAUGAAGAGACAGGCCAGGUCAGGCUCACCAAGCAGGUAACCGGAACCUUUAAUUUUAUUAUGUGGAAUGCUUAAUGCAGAGUUAAUAGGGGCUAGAGUGGCUAGGAGAGGGGACUACUGAGAUAAAUAACAGGAGACAGUAAUGAGUUACAUGUGGAUCUGGGGGGCUGCAGAACAGGAAAAUAGGGGCAGAUAUAGCUACAUACUUUAUUCAAAUACCACUGGGAGGCAAGGGGUAAGAGGCAAGGGCAGAAUGUACAGGUCAGGAUUCUAGUGUCUUCAGCCUGCUGAUAGCAACCUGGGUGCUGGGCCCUGUGUCUCCUGGAGCCAAGGGUUAGGGCCUGAGCAGCUGUCACUCUCUGGGAAGCCCAGGAGUGGGGCUGACUGAGCAGGGGCCAUAGAGCCUAGUUAGGGAAGAGGGAGCUGGCAAGGAGCCCAGGGAGGGAGGCUCUGUGAAUUGUCUCUGAUUCCUUUCCUGGAGCCCCUGCCUCGUCACCUCCUGGGAUGCGUCUCAAGGUCAUGGAGGUUGUAGUGGAGGAGGACUGGGGGCUGUUUCUCAGACAAAGAAUGAGGUUAUUGGCACAGAAUUGGAUCAGGGGGCCUCUGUGCCAACUCCUUCCUGCCUUCAGAAAGGGAGGGGGCAUUGAAGGGAUGAGAACUCCACUAAGUCCCUCGAACCCCCCACUCCCCAGUGAGGCUCCUCAAAGCUACUCUCAGCCCCUGAGUGGGAGACACGGCCAGCUCCGGGCACAGUCUCUGGGUGGCCUAGCCCUUAGGCACUGUGGCAUAGGUGGCAUGGGCAUGUCAGACCCUCACUAUCUGUGAGAGAGAAAACAGGAGUCAUAGGAGUGGUAAGGCCUCCGAUGCCACCAACCCUGGUGCUUCCCCUCCCCGAGGAGGGUGAGCAGGCCCUUCUCAGGUCCUGGGAUAGAGGGUCAUUCCUGGGGGAAGGUGCAGCCCCUCAUCUUUCAGUGUGGGUGCAACAGUCAACCUCCUUCUCCUCUGUCCAGCCUGUUCUCCUGGGGCUUUGCUGCUGGAGCCUGGAUGGGGCAGGUGGGUCAUCAGGGCAGUGAGCCAGACAGAAAGCCCCCCGACCUGUCAGCCUCUUCAGCCUCCUCAGCCUCCUCCACUGCCACCACCAGGCCUGAGGUGGGCAAGGAACAGGGCACACAGGCUGGGGGCAGGGGCUGGGCGGGGGGUGGUGGCGACAGGGCCCCCUUUAGGGCCGGGACAGCGUCGUAUAUACUGGCUGCUCCCAGUGUGUGGGGCUGUGGGACUGGGGCCCUGAGGGGCUGGGGUCAGAGAUGGCCGUGUAGAGGGGCCGCUGCGAGGGCCCCAUAUAGGAGAAGGCCGAGUAGAGGCCAGAGGCCUGGCCCGAGUGGCCGUAAUAGGGUCCUGAGGGCUGAUGGUCAGAGUAGUCAAACUGGGGGCGGGAGAUGGAGGGGAAGGCUGAGCCAUAGUGGGGCAGGCUGAGGGAGGUGUAGGCGAUCUGUGAGGUGGAUGGCUGGUCGGUGUAGUGUGGGGGCCCCUGGGGCCCCGCGGUCUCUGUCUUCACCUGGGCUUUGGCAUCCACACCAGGUGGUGAGACCGUGGGCAGAGCCACGCCUGGUGGCUUGGAGAUCCAGGCGGAGUGUCCACUGGCCACGGCCAGGGCGCUGCCCAGCCCAUAGCCGGCUGCUGAGUAGCUGCCCACGUGGCCUGGGUGCCCAUUGGGCGGCAGGUACUGGUCCAACUCAGCCACAUCAAAGGUCUCCAUGUUGGACAUUACCUCGUGGCUGAUCUCACCAAUGUCCACGUUGCCGAAGUCGAUGUGAGGCUUCCCGCCCUCCCCCAUGGAGCGCCCGUCCCGCUUCGGGUCUGCCUUGCCCGACUGCAGCUCUGUCUUCGGGGUGGUUGGAGGGGUGGGUGGGCCAUGGCUCUGGCCUGGGUAGAAGGGAGACAGAGAGAGAGAGCGCAAGGGGGAAGCAGGUUAGAGGCAGGUGGGCGCACGUGAACUUCCAUGGUUCACCUUCAGGCAGCGGGUGCCUCUGGGAAAACCUUGUAAGUUCACAUUUUGGCAGCAUGAGUCAGGGUUUUUUUUUUUUUUUUUUUUUUUGAGACGGAGUUUCACUCUUGUUGCCCAGACUGGAGUGCAGUGGCGCCAUCUCGGCUCACUGCAACCUCUGCCUCCUGGGUUCAAAUGAUUCUCCUGCCUCAGCCUCCUGAGUAGCUGGAAUUGCAAGCGCCCACCACAAUGCCCAGCUAAUUUGUGUAUUUUUAGUAGAGACGGGGUUUCACCAUGUUGGCCAGGGUUGUCUUGAACUGCUGACCUCAGGUCAUCCACCUGCCUCGGCCUCCCAAAGUGCUGGGAUUACCAGCAUGAGCCACUGCGCUCAUGCUGUUUAAUACUGGUGUCUUAGAUUGAUCUCUAGUUGUUUAUGAAAUUCUCAAAUCUUAGGGAUGGGUCCUGGGGAGGCCUGCCUCAUUCUGAAAAAACCUUUCCUGUGGAAAGUUCUUCCUCUCAUCAGCUUCUCUGCUGUCCAGGUGGUCUGGCCUGGCCUUUGCGCUCUGCCAGCCCCACUUCCACACCCAUGCCGACUGUCUUCCUUGCUGAGCCUCGCUCGCCCAGGCUCCUGAGUGCUCUGUUUCACCUUUGCUGGUUGCCUGGGCCUGCUCCCUGUCCUGGCCUCGUGUUGUGUCCUUUCCAACCCUUCCCUCCUCCUGAGCCCACCCUGCUUCCCAGCCCACUGGCAGGCCCUUAGCCCCGUCAUACGCUGGCCUGUGUUGCCCUGUUGUUCUUUGAGCUGCCUUCCUCCAUGGGAGGGCACUUAGAAAACUGGUCCUUGUUCCUUUGUCUGUUCACUUUCUUAUUCACAUAUUAAUUUAGCAAACUCUUAGGGAGCAUUACAAAACGCCAGGUGCUGUGCCAGGUGCUGGGGAUACUGAUGUAAAUAAAAUGGAUCCCUGUUCCCAAAAGCUCAUAGUCUAGUCAUAGAUCCAUAGAUCCACAUGCACCCAGAGUUGGAAGUGCUGUGGUGACAAUAUGCAAGGACUUGGGAGACCAGAGGAGGAGUCUACCCGCUGCCUCAGGGAUUUGGGGAAGGUCUCAUCGGGGAAGGAUGUCUGAGUGGGGUGGGGCCUUGAAGGGUGAGAAAAAGUCUGUGUCCAGUUUCAUUCUGAGGUGGUUGCUCUGUAUGUGGUCCAGGGUCUCCUGAUGUGUGUGUGUGUGUCCCUGAAUCUUUGAAGGUGAAGAGUAUGUACACGUGUGUGGGAGGGAUGACUGCCUGGCAUCCCAAUGGAGACAGAACAUGUCCAUGGUCUUAAGAGACUAGGAGCUCCCCAAGGACAGGCCUGUGCCUCCUUCAUCAGACCAGAGGCAGCGCCAAGUCCUGCAUUGGCCAAGGGCUCUGUACUUCAAGAGACCUGCCUAGGCUUUUGAAUCCUGGUUCUGUGUCUGGACAAAUCCCCAGUCUUCUCUUAACCAGUUUCCUUAUCAGUAAAAUAGAGAUUAUACCAAGCAGCCCAGGCAUUGCCUCUUUCUGGAAGCCUUCCUUGACAAGAGUCUGGUGGGCAGUGGGGUGUUCUUGGAGACCUGACUGGAUGGGAUAGACGGCCGUGCCACUUCUGGAUCUCACACAGACUUCUUGUGCACUUGUUUCUAUAUAUAUAUAUACUAUAUAUUUAGUAAGAGAUAGGAGGCUGGGCGUGCUGGGUCAUGCCUGUAAUCCCAGCACUUUGGGAGGCUGAGGUCAGGAAUUCGAGACCAGCCUGGCCAACAUGGUGAAAAACCAUCUCUACUAAAAAUACAAUAAUUAGCUGGGUGUGGUGGCGUGCAUCUGUAAUCCCAGCUACUUAGGAGGCUGAGGCACAGGAAUCGCUUAAACCCAGGAGGCAGAGGUUGCAGUGAACCAAGAUGGCACUGCUGCACUGCAGCCUGGGCAACAGAGCAAGACUCCAUCUCAAAAAAAAACAAAAACAAAAAAAAGACAGAGCCUUACUACAUUGCCCAUGCUGGUCUCAAACUCAUGGGCUCAGGUGAUCCUCCCACCUCAGCCUCCUGUGUAGCUGGGACUGCAGGCACAUUCCACCAUGCCUAGCUUUGUUUCUUCCUGUACUUAAUUCACUCAUUUUCAUCCCUGCUCCUCUCUCUAGACUAUGGGCCCCUGAGGCCAGGGACUGUAGGCUUCUCUGGUUAGUACCCCUGGUGUCCACUCCAGUGUUAGACACAAAGUAGGACUCAGAGCGUGUCCUCUGAAGGCAGAGCUCUGCUCACUGAGCACUUCCCAUGUGGCAGACCUGUGUGUGUCACUUUCUGUACAUUAGGAACACAGGCAAGGCAGCUGUGGUGCCAAGCAGAUGCCCUGGAGCCAAACUGGGGAAGUUCCUGUCUGUUUCUCAUCAGUAAAAUGAGAGUAACUUGCCACAGCUGAGAUCUGAGCCCAGGCAGUUUGGGUACCUCAUCACAUUGUUUGCAAUGAUUGAGUUAGUAUACAUAAGGCAACUAGCACCUAGCACAGUGCCUGGAACAGAGUAGGUGCUCAAUUAAGGUUAGCUGUUAUUAUCAUUAAUGAAAAUUAAACAAGAUAGCUUAUGUCUGGCCCAUCCAUUGCCAGACACGGUAUCACAUGCCAUGUCUCCUCUGUCAGAAUGGCUGGUGGGAUUUGGGAGGCCGAGGCGGGCAGAUUGCCUGAGCUCAGGAGUUUGAGACUGGGCCUGGGCAAUAUAGUGAAACCCUGUCUCUGCUAAAAUACACAAAAUGAGCCAGACGUGGUGGUGUGCACCUGUAGUCCCAGCUACUUGGGAGGCUGAGACAGGAGAAUUGCUUGAACCCGGGAGGAAGAGGUUGCAGUGCACCGAGAUCAUGCCACUGCAGCCUAGCCUGGGCGACAGAGUGAGACUCUGUCUCCAGAAAAAAAAAAAAAGAAUGGCUGGUGGGAAAGAGGCAGUGAUUUCCUCUCCUCCAUUUGCUCUUCCAUUUCUCAAAACCAUCCUGUCUUCUCCCCCUUUCCUUGUAACUGCCCCAGCCACCUCUCACUCCAUGACCUCCACAGAGUCUUUUUUUUUUUUCUUUUUCUUUGAGACAGAGUCUCGCUCUGUCGCCCAGGCUGGAGUGCAGUGGCGCAAUCCCGGCUCACUGCAAGCUCCGCCUCCUGGGUUCACGCCAUCCUCCUGCCUCAGCCUCCUGAGUAGCUGGGACUACAGGUGCUCGCCAUCACGCCCAGCUAAUGUUUUUGUAUUUUUAGUAGAGACGGGGUUUCACUGUGUUAGCCAGGAUGGUCUCGAUCUCCUGACCUCGUGAUCUGCCCUCCUCGGCCUCCCAAAGUGCUGGGAUUACAGGCGUGAGCCACCACACCCGGCGGCCUCCACAGUCUUUAACUGGCCCUCUUUGCCCAGUAGGAUCAGCCCCGGCCAGAGCCAUCUCACCCAGCCACUUCCCCUGGCACCGGAACCCCCAUGGAGCUCCCUCUGGGCCCCUGCAGCUCUGCUGGGGCAACUGCACAGCCUGGCACACUCUCCCUAGAGUCCAGGGUCUCAUUGCCAUCCAGCCAUCUCCUCUCUCCACUGACUGGCCUUGCCCCACCCUCAGCUCUGUCAUCAGCACUCACCUGAGGGGUGCUCGGGGUUCCCAUCUGACAUGGGGGAGCCCUCUCCUGGGUGCCGGUGGUCCAAGUGGGCGCUCUUGUAGUGGGCCUGGAUGGCGGCAGUCCCACCUUGCUCGGCCUCCCCACCGGGGCACUCCGCCUCGCCCUGGGCGGCCUUCCCGUUCUUCCGCCGCCUGGGCUGGUACUUGUAGUCCGGGUGGUCUUUCUUGUGCUGCAUACGGAGCCGCUCAGCCUCCUCGAUGAAGGGGCGCUUGUCACUUUCGUUCAGCAGCCUGGGGUGUGGUGGGAGGCGGAGAGGACAGCAGAGGGGCUGGCGUGAAUGCCAGAGCACUCCAGGUUGGCCUCCCUCUGAGUGUCCAUCUUGGAAGAUGUGAGGCCCUGGGAUGGGGCACCCAGAGGACAGGACCCGGGGUGGGGGCUGUGCCCUAUGAUUUGUGGACUGAGAGAUGUGAGGCCCAAGGAAUAACAGCCUCAGAGGGCUGCCCCCAAAUCUUUCAUGGGCUGGAGGGUGAGAGAGGGGUCAGCCCGCUGCUCCUGGCAGCCCCUGAGGAGGAGUUAGAAGUAGGAGUAGAGGUUUCAAGGGGCAGAUGCCAGUUCAAGGAAAGGAAAAACUUUCUCAUCAUCAAAGCUGUCUGCAAGUAGAAUUGGCUACUUCAUUGGGGGUGAGCUCCCUGGGACUGAGGGUGGGCAAUAGAAGCAGCAUGGCUGGGGGAGAACUCAGUCUCUGCUACUUACUAGCUGUGUGUGUGACCUUGAGCAAAUUACUUCUCUGAGCCUGAGUUUCUUCACCUAUAAAAGGAUGAUAACAUUGGCUUAACUUGGGUGUGGGAUUGGCCAGAAUAAUGGAUGUGAGAUGCCUUGCACCAGGGCCUGGGAAGCGGGCUGAGCACCUUGAGAAAGAGGUGCUUUUCUUUUUUUUUUUUUUUCUGUGAGGGAAUCUCACUCUGUCACCCACGCUGGAGUUCAGUGGUAUGAUCUCAGCUCACUGCAACCUCUGCCUCCCAGGUUCAAGUGAUUCUUGUGCCUCAGCCUCCCAAGUAGCUGGGAUUACAGGCAUGAGCCAUUGUGCCCAGCCCAAGAGGUACUUUUCUAUUUUUAAUUUUUUAUUUAUUUAGAGACAGAGUCUCACUCUGUCGCCCAGGCUGGAGUGCCGUGAUGCGGUCUCAGCUCACUGCAAUCUCGGCUUCCUGAGUUCAAGCGAUUCUCCUGCCUCAGCCUCCCGGGUAGCUGGGACUACAGGCACGCACCACCAUGCCCGGCUAAUUUUUGUAUUUUUAGUAGAGACGAGGUUUCACCAUGUUGGCCAGGCUGGUCUCCAACUCCUGACCUCAGGUGAUCCACCCGCCUUGGCCUCCCAAAGUGCUGAGAUUAUAGGCAUGAGCCACCGUGCCCGGCCCCAAGAGGUGCUUUUCUAAGGCUGCUUGUGGGGGUGGUUGGACAGGAGGAUCUAGGGUUGGUCUCUUAACUCUGGGUCCUGAUUGUGUGAAUUCCAGUGUGGUGGGACUGAGGGGGCAGAUGUGGCUCCUCUUUACCAUGGGUCUGGGCGGGGGGUACUGCCUCCUGUGGGGGAUCCUAUAUCCUUGUCCAGAAAAUAGCAGAGAGUAGAGGAAGCUAGCCUCUCCUCAGACCCUGGAACAGUCCCUGAAACCAACACAUGGAGAGAAGAAGCCCUGAAGCCAGCGCCCUUGCCACCGACUCCAGCCUCAGGCCAGGGUUGGAGGGUGGAGGGCAUUUAGGGUUUGGCUGCCCCAGGGUGCGGAGGGCAGGAUGGGGUACCUUACAGAGGGGGUCGAGGGGAAAGUCCAGAUUCUAGAAUCCCAGACCUUGGUACUGAGAAUCCAUGAGUCUUUGUGGGAGCAGCCUUGUCUGUCAGUCCAGAGGGCUUGUCUCUUCAGCUGCCCCACCCCUCACACCCCAGUGAGUGCCCUCUUCCCCCAGUCAGCAGAAGGCCGAGCCCUCCCUCCCCAGGCUGGGCGGGGGUGGUCAUGCCAGGCACCUCCUAGCCGGCAGCAGCAUUCCUCUGCGGCUUAGCCUCCCUGUCUACUCCCCCCACCCCGGCCCUGAGCCCAGCCCUAGCCCCAGCUUUCUCAGAGGGUCCCUCCAGCCGAGACUCUGUCAGAGUCAGUGUACACACUUAGGACAAAGAUGCUGGAGCAGGGCCUUGAGAGUCAGGGAGUGGGAUGUGGGCCUCCUCUCUGAUGGCUGGGACCAGGGGAGGGGGUGGAGCAGGCCUUGAGGGUGUGACUGGGGAGAACCCACAGAGGAGAGAGCUGCUCCGCCAGCAGUGGACCCCAGCAGAGGGGCUUCUGGAUGGCUGGGGACAUGGGACACAGAGCUCACUCUUUUACCUAUCCUUCCCUUGCCCCCUGCCCAGCUGGCAGCCAGCAUCAGCAAGAAAGUGACAGGGGCCAGAAGAGAGAGAGGAUCCCAACAUCGGAUUCCACUGCUACCUCCUAAGCUAGUUCCCAGCAUUAGCCUAACCCUGACAGAAAUCUAAGCCCGGGGCCACUGCCAUCCCCGACCCCAGCUCCCUCCUCCACCAGCUGUGCCGGACAGCUGAUUCCACCUCCACCCCAACCCCAAACCCAGCCUGCCCACCAUGUAAACCCAAUCUCCAGCACCAGUCCCCACUCAACAUUACCAGCCCCAAACCCCCAACGUCGCCUCCAGCUCUAACUCCAAACCCAGUCCUCAUUUGCACCUUCCUGUCAGCCCUCUUUCUCCCUGGUCUCCCAGGUUUGGAAUGGGGGCAAGAAGAGGUAGGCUGAUUCCUCACCCAAACUGGAAACCCCAACCGGGGACCUCCCACAGUGGGGCACUGAUUGCUGCUACAUGUGUCCUGCUAGGCCAGGGGCAUAAGAAGACUACUUGGGGAAGGGGCCUGUGGCACUGGGAACAGAGGCUGGGUGACCCCCACCACACAGGAGGGACUCUUGCCUGUGUCCGCCUUUCCAGUUUCUUGGCUCUGGUUCUUUCCAGGCAGAUCAGCCAACCCACAGGCACCACCCUGUGAUCAGCCUCUACUAGCCCCUCCCCAGAUGGGCAUCAAAGGUUAGAAUGACUGUUGGGGCUCACAUGGCCCCUUAGGACCUGGGCUCCAGUGUGUCUGAUCCCACACUCCCUUGGGGCACUCCACACAGUCUGUGUGUAUCUUUCUCUUUUUGGUUUUAAGACACCUGUUUUCCAGCUCUGCCCACCUAACCACCCCCCUUCUUGACAUCCCGGGAGUCACAGCUUGGGGAGGUUUCAGGAGAAGCCCCUGGAGCAAUUGGCCAGCCCAGCCCAAAUCCAAAUGUCUCUCAGGACCCCCCUCCAGGGUCCAGGGAGCCACCCUCUGUUGGCAUUGCCUUUGAUCCUUGCCAUGGUUCUGGCCCUGUCCUCCCAUUGGGAUUGGGUCCUCAGCAAGUAGUGCCAGUUUUCCUGACUGCCACACCUCAGGCUGGCCCCUGUGCACACAGCUUGAGUGAUGGCCAAGAAUAAGUCCUCCUGAAGGGAGUCCAAGCCCAGGGUUCUGGGCUGGGGGAACCUGGGCACAGGGACAAUGGAGGAGCCAAUCUUAAACCCUUGGCAAUGGGAGAUGGAGGGAAAAUGAGGUCCGUCCUUGCUUUGACUCUCGUUGGGCUUGUACUGUGGUCUUCUCAUGGUCCCCAGAGUCUGCCCUGUCUGUAUGUCUCUCCUGGUUGUCUGUUUCUCACUUGCUCUUUGUCCCCUGGCACUAAAGAUACUGGCCUGGGCCAAGCCCCACCCAGAUCUGGAUGGACCUUGGGUGGAGGAGCUAGCUGUGACCUCUGCUCUUGGGCAGAACUGGGCUGUCUGGGUCCACACAGCGGGCUGGUCGCUGAGCCCUGGGCCUGCCCUGGGUGAGCAGGGCACUGAGGGCUGAGAAGGGGCAGGGGAAGGGGCACCAGGUCUUCAGCAAACACAUGGCAAGAACAGGCCAGGGGUCGGGAUGUGAAUCUUUUGGUCUCUUGGAGAUCCUCCUGCACCUUCUACCACUCUAAGCCUCUAGACCCAAUCUCUACCCAACUGUGGCUGGCAAGGGGGAGGGCAGCGGAAGAGAGCCGGGCUCCUCUGACAAAGCCCUAAUUUUCUGGAACCCAGAUGCCCCUCACUCUUGUUCUCAUCUUCUUGCUUCCCCCCAACCUCCUGACCACUCCUCAAAGUGUAGGUGAUCCACCACUGUCACCAGGGUCAGGGGAAGUCCUCUGGACAGAGAGUAUGGGAGUCCUGGGUUCUGGCCCUGGCUCUGCUACCAACUUCUAUGUGACCUUUGUGAUUCCUUUGCCUUUCGGGGCCUGUCUCUUGGCCAGUCUAGCGAGAAUCAGGUGACUGCUACCGGCUCACAUCUCCUGGAGUCCCUGGUCUCUUUCAGAGCUGCUCUGGCACUCCCGGGUGGGAGUGGGGGACUGUCUUGUUCCACACAUCCCCAGGAGGCCUGGCUGAACCCCAGACCUGAGUUGAGGGUGGGAGAAUUGCUCCCUGCGGGGGAUGUUUUUCCUAGAGGUGUGGGCUGGUCCCAGGGAACCUGGGACGCUGAGGGCCCCUGGGCAGGAAGGGGGCCAAGGUUUCCUUCUGGCCAGAGUGCUCAGCUCCAGCUCUGGGGCAGUGGGGAAGAGGUUGCUCAACGUUGGGGUGGGGCCCUGGCAGGGAAGAUGGCGCCGAACUGGGAGAGGGAGGAAAGAGAUCAGCUUGGUGACUCUGGGGCAGGGCAGGAGGGGGAGCCCCUUACUGUGUGUCCUCUCCCUAGGAGGGUGAGGAAGCCCCCAACUCAAAGGAGGGUGGCGUCAGAAAGUCCCAGGGAAGAGCCCUAGGAUAGGAUGAGAUCCUGCAGCAGCAGAUUUGUCCCGCAGUUCUUCAUCCCUCACUCUUCCAAAGACUCUCAUCUGAAUUCCCUGUUUUCUUUAAACCUCCCGAGUUCUCCAUCUGACUGCCUCAGUUUCCCUGAAUCUCCAGCCAACCCUUUGGUUCUUUCCAAGCGUUUCCCUCGUAUCCUCCUGACCACAGCAGCUGGUGGCAUAGUGUGCGUAUCUGUGGGCAGGAGUUAGUGAAGGCCUCCUUCCCUCCCUCCAAAGCCCCAGGCCCCACGGUCUGCCACCCGCAAAAUUCCAACCACGAGGGGGCGCCUUCCUGCCCGCCGCCCCGUAGGGAGACCCGGCCUAGGCCGCUGGAGUUCCGAGUUCCAGGGUCCUUGUGAUGGAAGGGCGGGCGCGGCCCCCACACCUGGUCUUCCAGCCCUCUCCAAGGAGGACUGCCAGACAGUCCCGCUCUGAGGUGCAGGAGGCCGGGCCGCCUCGGCUACCCUGAAUCCACCCGAAGCUAGAGGGCCCGAGCCCGGGGGGCGGUCGGGUGCUCACCUCCAGAGCUUGCCCAGCGUCUUGCUGAGCUCAGCGUUGUGCAGGUGCGGGUACUGGUCCGCGAGCUUCCUGCGCGCUGCCUGAGCCCACACCAUGAAGGCGUUCAUGGGCCGCUUGACGUGCGGCUUGCUUUUGCUGGCGCCGUUGACGCGCACGGGCAUGGGCACCAGCGUCCAGUCGUAGCCGCUGAGCACCUGGCUGACGGCCUCGCGGAUGCACACGGGGAACUUGUCAUCGUCCGCCUCGCCGUCCUGCUGCUCCUUCUUGACCUUGCCCAGCUCGCCUGGCCCCGGGCUGGCUCGCAGGCCUGAUCCGCCGCCGCUGCCGUCGGGCCCUAGCGAGGGCGCGCUCCCCGGGGACAGGCAGCGGGGCUCCUCCGAGCCCACGGGGCUCAGCUCCACCUCCGAUAGGUCCUGCUCCUCCGCCAUGUCGCCCCCGGCCGCCGCCGCCGCCGCCUCGGCCGCCUCCCCCGGGCCAGCCGCCGGGGUCCUCGCAAAGAGUCCAACGCCCACCUGAAUGGAAGGAGGGCGCGAUGGAGCGGCCGCGCGCGCAGCCCCGAGGGCGGCCCGAGACACGACGUGGGCACAGCCCCGAGGUGGCGGCCCUUCCUGCUCCAGCUAAACCCAUCUGGCCCCUGGGGCCCACGCACAUGCCAGACUCUAGGUGGGUGCGUCCCGCCUCUGCGUCUUCCCACCACCUGGUCCCAACCGUCUCUUGGUGUGGGUGGCUUUUUUUUUAGCCUCCUUUUUUGGGUGGAGGUUUGUUGAUGAUAAGAAAGAAAAAAACGGAGCCUUUAUUUUGCUCUAAUCACGGCCCCUGGAAUUUCCCACCUUUUCUCUCACCUUUCCUUCUUCCCUCAGCCUGCCCCAACGGGGUUUAGAGGAGAGCCAGGUUGGGGGCAAGGGCGGGGUGUCGCCUCUCUCCACCUCACAGCAGGGUCCCAGGCCUGGGCGGGCCAGGGAGGAGCAGGCUGCGCACUCACCUCCUCGGACCUCUCCUCCAGUCUGGGGCUCGUCCUUAGGAAGUGGAAAACCGUGUCCCAAGGUGUGCGGUCCAGCUCGGGGCUGGGAGGUGACGCUGGUGGGCUGGGAAGGAGGGGCGGGGGGCCCUGAGCCUCAGGCCACGGCCUCGUUAGGACGGAGCCUGAAUCCUUACCACCAACCACCCUGGCCGGACAGCCCGAGACUGACUGAGCGACUGAGCCGCUGCGGAGGGCUGGGGAAGGAAGGAGGGGGAGAGGGGGGAGGGGAGAGGAGGGAGGGAAGGGCAGAAGGUGGAGCCUCCAGGCUUUCCUUCAUCCCCAACACUCAGGGCUCCUCCACCCGGAGCCCAGGCCCCCCCACCCAGCUCCCUGCCCUACUGCCCAGGCCCAUCUUGCUGAGGCUUAUCUUGGGCUUAGUCUGGGAGGUGGAGGGGAGGUUAGGCCGAGGAAGGAAGAGAUGUAGGCUGGAGGGUCAGAACCUGUUGGAUGGAAGAAAAUUGGGCCCAACCAGGACUCCUAACGUCUGCCUCAGGUGGCAGGAUGGGCACUUGGCAGGGGACUAGGGAGAGACGUGAAGGCGGUGAGGGUCCUGUGGGCCCGUGAGGGUGGCUGGCCCGAACUGCUUCGUCUGCGAAAUCCUGUUGAGUGCCUAGUGUGUGCCAGGCACUGAUGCCCAGCUCCUCACCCUGCCUCCUACCUUUUCCUAGGCAGCCCUUUCUGCCCCGUCCUGCACAGUAAGAGAGACUGCUCAGGGAUCCCUCUGAGAAGUGCAGAGCCCCAGCUUGACCCCUGGUCCCUUCUCUGCAGACACCCAGCACACGCACGUUCUGGUCUGGUUCAAGGUGGAAACACAAGACUAAAGCUGCCAGGAGGCCAAGGUGGGACAGGUUGGGGGCCCUCUCUCAGUAGGUCUUAGAGGCAUUUUGGGUUGCUACCUCCUGGGACCCAGCUCCUUCCACACUGGGCUCACCCUGUCUUGGGAGAGGGUAGGGGAGUCCUAGUCCUGAUUGUCACGAAGUCCUCUACUCCCCCACCCCAACAAGGGGUGGGGACUUGCCCUGCCUCUUCCCUCCUCUGCCCACCUCUCCCUCCCUCCCCUUUUCUUUCCUGCCCAUCCUCCGUUGACACCUUUUCCUCUCUCUUUCCUUGGCCUCUCCUCCAAAGGUCGCAGUGCUGUUCUCUUAACUGAGGGCAGCCCCGCCGGGGUGUUGAGGCCGAGGUGGGGUGUAUGUGGGUUAUGUAAUGGAGCUGGGGCCGCAUUGGCAACCAUGUGACGUUCUGAGCUCCUCAACAGCAGGGCAAGGCCUCAAGCCCACCCCAAGGGGUCCUGUCUGGAGUGGGCUGCAAGGGGUCUGGGGAGGCAAGGCCUCAUGCUUGGGAAAGGCCAAAGGGGUGUAGGGGGUGGGAAAUGGGACACAAUGAGGUAGUCACACGAGGCAGAGGCAUGUUGGGGGUGGGGGGAGCGGACACUGGAACACACACACACACACACACACACACAUGCUCACACACACAACCAGCCAGACAAUCGGGCCAGUGUGUCUGGGGCCUCGGAGCCCAGUGAAUUAGGAGUUUGAUAAGGGUUUUCUCUUUCUCUCGCUUGCUGGCCUUGGACAAUCUCCCCCCAGUUUUCCUCGACGCCACCCCCGGCGCUGCCAACCCUCCUCCCCCCGCCUCCCUUCUCUUCCCUGUGCCCAGACUCUUGUUCGGGGCCUUGAAACAGUGAGCUGUCUUUGUUCGAAAUACAGGUGAACGGCAAUCAUGUGAUUAACACACACACACAUAAAAAGCUUUUUAACAGCGCCCGCUCAGCCUCAGAACCGCCCGGAGAGGAGCCGCCCUGGAUGGACAGAGGGACGAGGGACGAGCAUCUGCCGUCGUGUCCCGGCUGCCCUGCAGUCGCCUCCAACACCCGCUGCUGCCCGCCCGCUGCCUGCCUGCCUGGCAUCUCUCUCUCCCGGUGGGUCCCCACUCAUCCUUCCACCCCUCAGUUCCUCCUCUUUGAGGAAAGGACCUCCCCGCUCUCUGCUGUGUCUGUGACUGGCCUGAGACCCGCCUGGGGCAGGAGGGGUGGUUGUGGAGGGAAAGAGCCCAGAGUUAGGAGGUGGAAUGUGGGGUCCCACAGCUGCCCCCUCUCUAACUCCCUGCUUCCUCCUUUGCCCUCCUUGGUCCAGCUGUGCCAGGAUGGGGGUGGGGGUAGCAGUGGGCACGCUCUGUCUGCAGGAAGCCACGCUAGACAGAAGGGGCCACUCCCUCUCUCUCGCCCUUGUCCCCGCACAGACACUGCCUUCCUCUCAGGGCUGUGCUGGGCUUUUUGCUGAGCAGUGUUGGGUGAGGCAGGUGGGCCUGCAGGGGGGGUGGGAAGGGCUGUCAGAUGACCAGUGCUGUGUGUGUGGUUGGGGCCCCUGCUGCGAACACAUCCCUGCCAUCCCAUCCAUCCCCUCCAUCCCAUCCCAGGCCCUGGGAACCCAGUGUUCUCCAGCAGGCAAGGGUGAAGGACCCACAGUCAUUCCUGAAGAGCAGGGAGCUUGGAGAGGGGAGGGAUCCUGGCUGAAGACACCUGGGCCUCUGCCCCAGCAGGACAACAGGAGGGCCAGUGUCACCUUCUCCUCCUUUCCCUGCUGGGGGUGGCAGGGGUCCCUUUACCCCCUCAUUCUUGACCCUUCUUCAGGGAUGCUUGUGACCUCCUUACCCCACCCCCCAUCACCUCUCCGUCCUGAAGUGAGGGUUUGUCACCGUCCAUGGCAAGGUGUGGUGUCUGGUAGGCUCUAUGACCUGCCCUCUCUCAGGGUGUUUAUUCUGCAGCAGAGAGGGGUCUGCGGUCUGAGUGUAAUGGUGGAAAUCCAGGCUUCCUUCCAUGGCCCAAGGAGGCCUUUCCGGAGCAACAGGGUUUUCCUGGGACUCGGCCUGGCUUUUGUUAAGGCAGGUCCCGGAUUUACUCAGAAGAUGGGCCCCAGAGAGGAGGAGAGGAAAGAAUACCUGUCAGUCAAACGUGAAGCCCACUGAUGACACUGCCUGGCAGAGCUGCCUCCGGUCAGCAGUGACCCUUCACCCCCCAGCUCCCAAGUCCUCUUCCUGAGGGAGCUGGUCCGGCUUUAUGGAAGGCUCCGCCUGUGUUCCCCACCCUGGGUCCCUGGUCCCUCACCUGUCACGUGGGGCGAUGGUCACCCUCCCUCCCUGCCUGCCCUGCAGGAUACACUGAGAUGAAGGUCAGGAAAUCUGCUGGCUGCAGAGCCAGGGGCCAUGCAGAAGUGAGGGAUGGUCUGGUCAAGUUGAGGCUCUGCCCCAGCCUCAGUUUCCCCACACAGGCAUGAGACUGUCUUCCUGACUUUCAGAGGACAGGGCUGAGAUGGGAUGAGGGAACACAGGGAAAGCGUUUAGCACCUCUGAGUGCUGUGUGGAUGCGACCUGGGGGGUCCUGGCCAUCCACUAUUUAAUUCUAUCUGGACUGUGCACCCUCCUACCUCCAGUUUCCCUGCGGGGGCCUUUCACAGGGCCUGGCUUGCGGAUACGGGGUUUGGCGUAGGGCAGUGCUUCUCAAAUGGGAAGGCGCACUGAGAUUCUUCAGGUUGGGGUGGGGCCUGAGGUUCUGCAUGUCUAAUCAGUUGCCUAGGACUGGCUCUAAUUCUUGUUGAAUUUAGAAUCACUUGUGGAGUUAAGAAAAACAUAGUGGGCCUUGGUUGGGUGCGGUGGCUCACACCUGUAAUCCCAGCACUUUGGGAGGCCAAGGUGGGCAGAUCAUGAGGUCGAGAGAUUGAGACUAUCCUGGCCAACAUGGUGAAACCUUGUCUCUACUAAAAAAAAAAAAAAAAAAAAAUUAGCUGGGCAUGGUGGCAGGCGCCUGUAAUCCCAGCUACUUGGGAGGCUGAGGCAGGAGAAUCGCUUGAACCCGGGAGGCGGAGGUUGCAGUGAGCUGAGAUUGCACCAUUGCACUCCAGCCUGGGCAAAAAGAGCGAAACUCUGUCUCAGAAAAAAAAAAAAAAGAAAAAGAAAAAAAGAAAAACAUACUGAGCCAGGCGUGGUGACUCAUUCCUGUAAUCCCAGCACUUUGGGAGGCCGAGGCGGGCAGAUCAACUGAGGGCAGGAGUUCGAGACCAGCCUGGCCAACAUGGUGAAACCCCAUGUCUACUAAAAAUACAAAAAUUAACUGGGCAUGGUGGCACGCACCUGUAAGCCCAGCUACGUGGGAGCCUGAGGCAGGAGAAUCACUUGAACUCAAGAGGCAGAGGUUGCAGUGAGGCGAGAUCGCACCACUGCACUGCAGCCUGGGUGACAGAGUAAGACUCUGUCUCAUAAAAACAAACAACAACAACAACAACAACAACAACAAAAAACAUACUGGAGCCUAGAUCCCACCCCAGAGUGGUUGAUUCUGAAUUUCUGAGGCUGAGGUACAAGCAUAAAGUUCCCUGGGAGGUCUUCACAGAGUCUCUGGAUCCCUGAGGCUGUGAAUGGCCCCCUUCCAGAGCCAAAAUCACCAGGGAUGGAGGAGGGGUCUUGGACCCACCAGCCAGGCAGGUUAUACUGGGGUAUCCGGAGAGCUUUGGGGUGUGGCAGGGGAGGGCCUAUGCACUGGGAAGGUGGAGGGCUGACGGGCACAGGUUAGUGGUCGAGGGCAGCGUAGUGACAGACAGAAGCUACCCUGCGGGUCUUCAGCCGAGUCUGAGUGCGCUGGGGUGGCUGUGGGAGCUCCCCUGAACGUUUUCUAGGCCACCUCCACCUUUGGUUAAGGCUGUGUCAUCCUCAGUCUUGGAUGUAGUGGAAAGUGACUUGAAGUCAAGAAAUCCUGCCACUAGUACCCAAGGGGCCUUAGGCAGAUCAUGCUAUUAACCUCUCAGGACUCGGCUUUUGCAUAUGUACGAUGUUGAUAAUCUUAUGCACCUUUGAUAUCCCCAAGUGAUGAGAGAAUUAUAUAAGAAUACACACACACAUCUCCCCUACCUAGCACAGUGACUGCUCAAUAAAUGUGAAUCAGAGGAAAUCAUUUAGCUAUUAGGCCAGCACUGGGAGGUGUGGAGGAUGCUCACCUCAGGUCAAGUGCACAAGUAUUAACCGAGCAGCCACCACGGCCUCACAGUCAGGAGUUUAUCAUUUGCCUUUUGAAUCCUAAUGUCAGACCAGGUGGCAUUCCUGCUUGGGAUGACAAGCUCCUCUGUCAUGGGUGGGCCUCCUCUGCCAUGCCCCUUAACAGCGCAGGCGACACUCUAGGGCCUCCCCAGGUGCCGGCUCAGCUGUGAGGGCUCCUGUCAUCGGACUUCAUCCUCCCAACAACCCUCUGAGUAGAUGCUAUUAUUCUCAUUUUAGGGAGGAAACUGAGGCACAAAGCGAUUCAGUGACAGGCCUGAGGUCGCCCAGCAAAUGAUGACAGGGUGUGGACUGGGACCUGUGGUUGGUCCCAGCCCAGCCUCUGACCACUCUGCUCUAUUGCCCCUAGGCUGCAAGUGCAGCUGCAGGUGGGCCUGCUCCUGCCUCCUCUCCUUGCCUGGGCCUUUGGGCCUGCUCCGUCUUCCCCUGGAGCGCUGUCCUCCCUCUGCCUGCUGGCGGUCUAGGCACUGCUGCAGCCCCACUGAGAGGUCCUCUUCCAGGACACACCUUGGGCACCUUGGUUGGAAUUCUUUUCCCUAUGACUUUCCCUCAGAGGAGGAGACACCUUCAGAUGUGCUCUGCCUCCUUACUGAACAGCCUGGAGGACAGGCCAGUCUCCAGUUCCUAUUGGGAGCCCCUGAGGCCAUGCUCAGCCUCGGCUCACCUUCCCUGAGCCGAGUUGCUGUCAGAGUUCCAAGGAGGAAAAGACCAGGGAGGCUGGAGCGGGCAGGAGUGGCUUCCUGGAGGCAGAGGGUCUGAGCUCUGGGGGAGGAGGAUGGCAUUCCAUGGCCUGUCCCAACGGGGGCUCUUGCCCCUCCCUGUUUCUGGUGCAAGCAGAGGGUCUCGGACCCAGGCCAGCAAGGCAGCUCCCGGGGUUGGAAUCUUCCUUCGCUCCCAACUCCAUCCUUUCUGGAAACCAGGAAGCUGGGGCCAGUGUCCAGCUCUGCCUCUGGCAGCCUGGCCUCUGCUCUCUUCUGAGAAGCCUUCAGAGAAGUUGACUGCCCAUUCCUGCCAUCUGUCCCCAGCUGCUGGAACGCCCUUCCUGGCGUCUGCCCUGAGCCUCUCCAGCUGCUGGGAACUUCUGUGAAUGUGUCCUCUGUGCAGGGCACUGGGCCAGGAGCUGGGACUGGGAGGUGAGAGAGACCAGACCUUGGCUUUGAGGAGCUGAGGGUUUGAUGGGAGAGACCGAUGUAGAAACCUGGAACCUGGCACAGCCAAACAGGCAGCUGGAGCUGGGCCUCUGGACCCCAAGAGCUGGGGUCAAGACCCAAUGGCUGUGGAGGCCCUGUGUUGCCUUGGCAACCUUCUUCCCUCUCUGGGCCUCAGUCUCCCCAUCUGUAAAAUGUAAAAUCAGCAGGCUAGCUGAUCUCUGAGAGUGUUUCCAUAUUUGAUAACCCGUGAAUUGUAUUUCAAAACAAGAGGCCCGUGCCUGAUCCAGUGUUUGCAAGGUGAUGCCUCAGACCCUUGGUGUUCCUCAGGACACUGAUAGGCAUCUCUUGAAAGACAUUUGGGAAACACUGCUUUCUGCUUCCUCUUUUUAGAGAUGUAAGGGUGGGACGUGGUGGUUCACGCCUGUAAUCCCAGUACUUUGGGAGGCCAAGGUGGGAGGAUUGCUUGAGUCCAGGAGCUGGAGACCAGCCUGGACAACAUAGUGAGACCCCCGUUUCCAUUGUUAUUAUUAUUAUUAUUAUUAUUACUAUUAUUAUUUGAGACUGGCUCUGUUGCCCAGGCUGGAGUGCAGUGGCGUGAUCUGGGCUCACUGCCACCUCCACCUUCUGUGCCCAAGCAAUUCUCCUCCCUCAGCCUCCUGAGUAGGUGGGACACUACCGGCGCAUGCCACCAUGCCCGGCUAAUUUUUUGUAUUUUUAGUAGAGACGGGGUUUCACCAUGUUGGCAAGGCUGGUCUUGAACUCCUGACCUCAGGUGAUUUGCCUGCCUCAGCCUCCCAAAGUGCUGGGAUUACAGGUGUGAGCCACUGCGCCUGGCCACCAUUAUUUAAAAAAAAAUUUUUUUUUAACUGUUUAAGUAAAAGAGAUGCAUUGCCUCUAAGCAUGCUAAAAGUUCUAAAUUCUGCAGUUAAAAACUGCUCUUUAAAAUAUUUAAUAUGAAUCUUCAAUUUAUUAUUCUGUUAUUUUUACCACCUAUUAACAUCUUGUAGAGUUUUUGAUGGAAACCAGUUUCACCCUGUUCUGGAGAGGACAUAGUUGCCUGAGGUGGACGUGGAGGCACCAUGGCCCCUGAGUGAGAUGUGCAUGUUCCUUACUUUGGGGUCACCCUGCCUUGGUUUCCAACUCCGUUCAGACCUGUUUGACGUGUACCAGGUGACUACUCAGUGUCAGGCCAGGGAAGCAGCUGAAUAGAAUAUGGCACUGACCCCCAGUUCCCUGUGUUCCCAUGCCUUCAGAGUUCUCAUUGUCUUGCAUUGUCCCUGCUGGGGUGUGGACUUGAGGGCUGGGUCCUUCCCGCCUCCUCCGUGGUGCCUGUUACAUAGGAGUAACGUCAGCAGAUGAAGGGCUUGCAUGGAAGAGAAUGUGUGCAGGCAGCAUGUGGGGAAGGAAUGAGCAUGCGCUCCUGAGUUAGACAGUCCAGGUUUAAAAAAACAUUGUUAGAGAUGGUGUCUCAAACUCUUGGGCUCAAGUGAUCCUUCCACCUCACCCUCCUGAGUAGCUGGGACUAUAGGUGUGUGCCACCAUGCCUGGCUCUAGCUCCAGGUUUGAAUCCUGACACCUCCAUUUAUUAGCUGUGUGUCCUUGGCAAAUGAAUUAAGGUCUCUGAGUCUCAGCUUCCUUCCAGGUUGUGGUGAGGAUUAAAGCAGAUAAUGUAUGUAAACACUUAAGACAGGGUCUGGCACAUGACGGAACCCAGUAAAUGGUAGCUAUUGUUACCAGCAGCUUGGGGAUCUGCCGCCAAGGUGGCUGUUGGUUGACCUUGGGUUUAGAGUAGUCAUUGCUGCUGCUUUUUUUUUUUUCUAGACAGAGUCUCACUCUUUCACUCUGUUGCCUAGGCUUGAGUGCAGUGGUGUGGUCUUGGCUCACGGCAACAUUUGGCUCCCAGGUUCAAGCAAUUCUCCUGCCUCAGCCUCCUGAGUAGCUGGGAUUACAAGUGCACAUCGCCAUGCUUUGCUAAUUUUUAUACUUUCAGCAGAGACGGAUGGGGUUUCACCAUGUUGCCCAGGCUGGUCUCAAACUCCAGACCUCAGGUGAUUCGCCCGCCUCGGCCUCCCAAAGUGCUGGGAUUACAGGUGUGAGCCACCGUGCCCGCCCCCCGGCUAAUUUUUAUAUUAGUUAUUGCUUCUUAUCCUGUCAAAAUGCUGUCAUCAGAUGUUCCCCGUCUGCUCCCAGUCACCACAGAGGCUGCAGAGCCAGGGCCGAUGGCCAUCCAUGGAACCAAAGCAGAAGGGGAAGCAAGUGACUGAGCUCACAUGACUGUUUAGUCAUGGAACUGGACAUGUCUGCUGUGACAUUUUGUUCCCGGGGUUCCUGGGGACCUACCCUAGGCAAGCUCCUGCUGUCUGUGGGGUAAAUAAAGAGGGGUGAGUGUGCCCCUUGUCUUUAGGGAGCUUGUUCAUUCAUACAUGUCUAGACACUAGGCAACAUGGUGCAGACAUGCAUGAGGAUUAAGAGAGUGGGGAAGGUGGAGGGAAGGAAGAGAGGGGGCAGAGGGGACCUUUAUGAGAUGGGUCCAUUGGUGUUGUCCCUGGAGCGGAAAAGAGCUGUCUGUAAAUAUGGUCUGAGCAGGGUGGGCUGCACAUGGCUCAUGAGACCUUUGUCCUUUCACCACUGGCAGGCAGCUGGCAGCUUGGGGGAAGGGGCUUGUCAAGGUUGCCCAGCUUAGGAACUGACAACGGGACCAAGUCUUCUCAUUCCAGAUUCCUUGUCAUUUUCCUCUGUGAUCUAGGCCACUGCCCCAGACCAGGGCUGGGCAGGAAGGGAGCUCAGCCCACCCAUCUUCCUGCUCUCACCCGGUUUACUGCUGUCCCUUAAAGGUAAAAAUGGGGUGAUCCAGUCAGAAUUUAGUGUUUGUCUGAGCUUGAAGGAUCCUCCUCGCCGACAUAAGGUUUCCUUAUUCUUCGCUGAUGUCACUUGUUAAUGAAAAUGGGAGCCGAGUGAUGAUGAGCUGAGCUGGGGAUCCAGAGACCAGAGUUCAAGGCUGGCCCUUGCCCCAUUUACCAGUGAGAUUGGGAUAAGCUAAGUAACCUUCCCAUGCCUCAAUCUCCUGUCUGUAAAAUGAGAAUCACGAUACCUGCCAUGUCACAAGGAUAAAAAGGGCCGGGCACAGUGACUCACGACUGUAAUCCCAGCACUUUGGGAGGCCGAGGCAGGUGGAUCACGAGGUCAGGAGAUCGAGACCAUCCUGGCUAACACGGUGAAACCCCGUCUCUACUAAAAAUACAAAAAAUUAGCUGGGCAUGGUGGCAGGCGCCUGUAGUCCCAGCUACUCAGGAGGCUGAGGCAGGAGAAUGGCGUGAACCCGGGAGGCGGAGCUUGCAGUGAGCUGAGAUCGCGCCACUGCACUCUAGCCUGGGCAACAGAGCAAGACUCCGUCUCAAAAAAAAAAAAAAAAAAGAAGUAAGGAAUGGCAAGUGCUCAGCCUAGCACCUUUGACAAAAACAAGACCUAGUAGUUGCCUCUUUCAGUCAUUUCAACUGCCAGUUAAUGCCCCGCAUUUUCCAGGUGGGAUGGCUUAUGUCUUGGCUAUAAUCAAGCCCGGGAAAACCUCUUCCCUUUCUAGGGUGCAGAGUUGAGCUUACUGAGAUCACAACAGGGAACCCAGGCACAGCCCUGGGGUGUGUUCACAUGUCAGGGGCUUCCGUUCACACAGGAAGUAUAAUAUUUGCUAGGCUGCCAGGCUGAGGGCCUCACACACACGCACCCCAGCUCACCUUCAGCUGUGUGUGCUUCACUGUGAGCAGGUGUUAUUUUGCUUUGUGUUGUUUUUGAGACAGGGUCUCACUCUGUGGCCCAGGAUGGAGUGCAGGGGUGCCAUCACGGCUCACUGCAGCUUCUACUUCCCGGGCUUAAUCGAUCCCCCACCUCAGCCUUCCAAGUAGCUGGUACCACAGGCACCAGCCACCACGCCUGGCUAUUAUUUAUUUAUUUAUUUAUUUUUGAGACGGAGUCUCUCUCUGUCGCCCAGGCUGGAGUGCAGUGGAGUGAUCUCGGCUCACUGCAAGCUCCGCCACCCGGGUUCAUGCCAUUCUCCUGUCUCAGCCUCCUGAGUAGCUGGGACUACAGGUGCCCACCACCAUGCCUGGCUAAUUUUUUGUAUUUUUAAUAAAGACGGGGUUUCACCGUGGUCUCCAGCUCCUGACCUCAUGAUCCGCCCGCCUUGGCCUCCCAAGGUGCUGGGAUUACAGGCGUGAGCCACUGCACCCGGCCAAUUUUUGUAUUUUUUUGUAGAGACAGGGUUUCACGAUGUUACCCAAGCUGGUCUCAUUGAACUCCUGAGCUCAAGCUAUCCUCCCGCCUUGGCCUCCCAAAGUGCUGGGAUUAUAGGUGUGUGCCACCUGCACAGGUGUUUUAUAUUUACCUCACCUCUCUACCAGGUGGCAAAUUGAGACAUCAGAGAGUUUAGGGCUUAGAACCCAGAGUUGAAAUCGCAGUGACUGCUUUGGCAGGUGCAAUGGGAGGAGCUGCUCCCGACUCUGCCAAGGUCCCAGCUCCUGCUGUGUGAUCUUGGGGAAGCCAGCCACCCUCUCUGGCACAUUCUCCAUCAGUGCAUUGAGGGAGCUGGCCUCUGACAUCUAUCAGAUUUGCUAUCAGGGGCUUUAGGGCUCUACUGAGACAGGCCCACAUUUGCUUUUGUUUCCCACCUUUUGUCCCCCAAGUGCUCGGGGUUGGACAUGUGAGCACACAGCAGAUGCUCAAUAAGUGCUUGCUGAACCUCAGUGAUCAGAGAGAUAGCUUGGCAGGUCUGUCUCCUGGGUCUGUCAUUCCCUUAGCACUGCGUGGGGAGUCCCCUCACAUCCUUUCCUGCUGGGGGACCUCCUCCUGGGGGAUCACCUAAAGCUCAUGUCUACAGAGACGCCUCUCUCGACCCUCCAGUACCAGCUGUUUUCUCUGACAACACCUGGCCUUUUCCUUUAUAGCACUCAUUGCAAUUUAUGAUCACAUAUUUAUUGGCAGAUUAGUUGUUCAUUGUCUGUCUUCCCCACAAGGAUGUCUACUUCAUGAGGGCAGCUUCCUAAGUCCUCAGUGAUCAACUGAGUGCCUGAAUGAAUGAAUGAGUGGUGAGGACAGAAUGGGGGGUAAAAAGCUGGGAGAGGCAGGUACAGUGGCUCACACCUGUAGUCCCAGCACUUUAUGAGGCUAAGGCUGGUGGAUCGCUUGAGCCCAGGAGUUGAAGACCACCCUGGGCAACCCCCUUUCUACCUUGUUAUCAUGGCGAAACCCCAUCUCUACUAAAAAUUAAAAAAAAAAAUCAGCUGGGUGUGGUGGUGUGUGCCUGUAGUCCCAGCUACUCGGGAAGCUGAGUGAGAGAAUCACCUGAGCCUGGGAAGUUGAGUCUGAGAAGUGAGUCAUGAUCGUGGCACUGCACUCUAUCCUGGGCAACAGGAGUGAGACCCUGUCUCAAAAAAAAAAAGAGCGAGGAGGAGGCUGAGGGUUAGAUGAGGCUGUCCAGGGCCUCUCACUGAUGGAGGUGGUCGUGACUCCUAGUCCAGUGCUCUUCCUUCUUCUGGAGCAGGGACACCCUGGGGGACCAGGCUGGGUUUAAUGGGCAGCCAAGCCCCUGAGGACCUAGGGAAGAGGAGGAGGGGAUGGGGGAUCUGAGCCAGCUCCACCCCUUCCCCCAGCAGGCAGGAAGGACAGGGCAGAUCUGUCAGCUUCAGAUACCACUGCCCCAGGGGACCCAGCCCUGAGCCCAGGGAGGCAGGGAAAGAGGGGGGGACAGGAAGCACCCGGGUCUUCCCCUCCUCCCUUUUGCCCCACCCUCCGCCCCCAUCUCUGGCGAGAGAGCUCACAGCCCCAGGCCUUGGCACUAGGGGGACAAGGGCGGGGCAGUGGGGGACAGAAAUCCAGUUCUGGGCAAAUCCCUUCCUCUCCCUCAUUUGGUUUCUGGCCUCAAAUUGGGGACUGCCCUGGCAGCCCCUGGAGAGCUUGGCUGGGGCCUUGAGGCAGGAGGGAUGGAGUGAGAGGGAGAGGGCACUGCCCACUUACACCCUUCCUGUGUGCCCAGCCCUGUGCAGACCUAGCUGCAGUGUCACUCGACAGGAGGAAGAGCCCUGGGCGGGACCUGGGAGGCCUCACUGAAAGGCUGGGCUCUGUCAAUAAUUGCUGUGUGACCUUGGGUGGGGCACAGCCCCUCUCUGGCCACUGUCAUUCUCCUCAUCUGCCAAUGUGGUCCAAACCUGGGGCCAAAGAACACAAGCCCUUGGGGAGUUUUAAAAGACUAAUUCCCAGGCCCCAUUCUGAGUGGUAGAUUUGGGUGGGACAUCUGUAUGUUUAAAUCUCCACUGCGAUUACGACGCACCUGGUGGAGGCACUACUGCCAUAGAUGGUCUAAGGGCCUCUCCCCAGCCUUGAAACUCCCACCCCUAGGGCAGGCCACCCCACUCCUGUGUCCUACUCGGGAAGGCAAGGGCCGCAGUGGCUGGCUGCAUCCUUUGGGGUGCCAGCUGGGACACAGGUGGCAGGCCGUAGGGAGCAGGGUGCUGCCUGGGGAGGGUGUGUGCUGUGGACCUGCCAGGAACAAACACAGAGGGGCCUGGGAGGGCCCUGAGCUUCCCAGCCGGAGUCUCCCCUCCAUCCCCUCCUCUGAAGGCCUCUUCCCCCUGACCUUUCUCCCUUCUUUUCCACUUCGGCCUCCACCUUGUUUCUCUGUCCAUUGCUCCCUCCUUCUCCUCUUUCUGUCCCCAGCCUCCUCUCUCUGGGAAGCUUUUUAAUUUUGACCCCACAUCCCACAGUUGGUUGCUCCUGCCUCUUGGUGUCCUUCCUGUCCUGGCCCUCCUGCCCUGGCUCCCUGUCUCUCUCCGGCCCUGUCUCUAUCUCUCCCUGUUUUUCUCUCCCUGAUGCAUUCUCUCCCUCCCUCCCUCCAUGAAUUUCUCUGUCUCUGUCCUGUGCCACCUCUCAUCUGCCCUGCCUCUGUAAAUGUGGGGAGGACCCUGGGAAAAUGACAGAGAUGGGGAGAGCUGACAAGUUAGAGAAACCAAGGCUUGUGGCAACCCGCAGUCUUCCCCACCUGGCUCCAGCCUACCUUCCCCAGGCCACCCGGCUCUGUCCCCUGCAUGCCCUGGGUCACCCUGCCCCUCCCUCGUGCCUGUGCCCAGCUCCGCAUCUCCCUCUUCCCAUUUCCAGCUUCCCUGACACUGCCCCGGGGCCCUUUCUCUGGCUGUCCCAGGGACCUCACCUCUUGUGAGCCCACAGCUCACUGUCUGUCGAGGGGGGACAGGCAGGAGGUAAGGAUGCGUCCGAGCCUCCCUGGGACACGACCCUCACAGAGUCAUGGAGUGCAGGAUUUGUACCAUCUCCUGGCGCGAGAGCCAGGGUUGCUCAGAUUGAUGGAAGAGCAGGUGUUUGUGUCCCCUUCCGGUGAGAGCUUUCCAGCGCCCAGAGAGCCAAGACGGCUUGUGGAAUUGGGGAAGAGGCAGGGAGAGGGUGGGAAGUGGGAGUGGAGGGGUAUGUUCUUCCCCUCCCGGGGCCUCAGUUUCUCCUCACAAGCUCUUCCCUCUCUCUCAUUGUCUAAGCCUUUCCCUUCCCGCCUCUGGUGCGAUUGGGGGUGGGGCAGGGGCAGGGAAUGAGGGGAUGCUGGGCUUUUACUCAACAGAGCAAUUUAUCCUGUGAUCAAAAGAGGCCAUGGCCGCCUCAUCUCUCCUCAGAGACCUGCCCUGACAGGUGUUGUCCUGCCUCCAGUCCGUGUUAACCCCCUCAAGGCCAGGGCCGGGCCGAGGGUCUGAGCCUUCCAUCUGCCCCUUGAAGGGGCCUCCCUGGGGUCCAGAGACAUCAGGCUGGCCCUGGGGAGGCUGUGGACCCUGGGCCUCACACUUACAUCUGGACAGGCCUUCUGACUUCCAGGGCCUGGUGAGAACCUCAGGUGAAGAGUUGCUGUCAGGCUCCCUGGGCAGGUUGGGGUGGUCCUGCUGUCCCACCCUGGGGACUUUAUUCCAGGGGCUGUGGGCUGGAAGGAGCCCCUGUUCCUUCCAGACUCCCUCUCUGCACCCUCCCUACUGCUGGCCCUGUGGCCCUGGGCGUGGGAUGUGCAGAGGACCGGCCAGGAGAAGGGUUAAGUCAGGGACUCUUGGGAUGGCUUUGGCCACGGCCAUUCCUCCGAGAGAAGAGAACAAGGGGCCCAUUCUGUGUGUGGGAAUUAAUAGCAAAGAGUCAUCUGGGGUGUCACUCAAGCACUGAUCGACUCCCAGAGGAAUGUGAGAGGGAGAGAGAGAGGGAGAGGAGAGGAGAGGAGAGGAGAGGAGAGGAGAGGAGAGGAGAGGAGAGGUGUGGUGGGGGCUGAGAUGGAGAUGUCAAAGGCAGGGCAUUAGGGUCUGGCUGGUACAGGAGCCCGCCCUGGUAGGAGGACCCGCCGCCCCAAGAUGGGUCCUGCUUUUCACCACAGAUGCGCCCCCGUCCCUACACAGGAUGAAGACCCCCUCCUGUCAUUCCCUCACCCAGGGCCUCCCCCUUCUGUCUUCCCUCAUUCCCAGACGGCCGUACCCUCUACCCCGAGGUGGGCCUGCUGGGCAGCUGGCCCUGAGUUCCUGGGCUCUCCCAGUCUGCCCCCAUCUUUGCUGAGAGAUCCAGGUGCUCCUUGUGGGAAAUGCCCUGGGGAUGGUGCUGUGGAGUGCCAGCCUGGGGUCCUGAGUUGUACCCUCUGUCCCAGGAUCCAGGAGCCCCACUUGCCUGGCUCCAGGCCCAGUUCAGACACAUUUCUACCGGGUGGCUGCAGGCACCUUUGGCUGCCUGCGUGUGGGGAUGCUGGAGCUUGUCAGCCAUCACAGGGGGCUCAGCCUUCCUCAUCUGCUCAGGCCCCUGUGGCAGCCUCAGCCUGGCCUGUGGGUGAGGACCAGCAGGCCUCCUGACAUCUGAAUGUCACACCCUAAGGAAGGCCUUGGUGAGGCUCCAGGAGGCCUAGGAGGGUGUGGUGCUCUCCUGCUCCAGUUGUGGGGUUGAGUCAGAAUCCUCCCAGGUCAUCUGCCCCUGGGUGUCCUGACACCCCUUCCCCUCCCCAGGGCCUCAGGCUGGCCACCGAGCCGAAAUGAGCCUAGACUCUGUGGGAUGCAGAGGCAGUGGGGUGCGGAGGAUGAGGGCUUUGGGGCAGUCAGAGCAGGGUGCCCCACUCCUUGGCCCUGUGACCUGGGCAGAGCUCCUUUGUCUCUCUGAGCCCCGGGGUUUCCUCUUGAAAAUGGGUCAUGUCAUAACUGGCAGGUUCAGAGGUAAGAGAAUGUAACAGGUGUCAAGUGCCCGACACAAUAGCCAACCACUGUGUGUUGUUAUUUUUAUUGUGAUGAUUAUUGUUAUUGGAGGGCUGGGCAGCCUCCACUACCCUUGGGCUGGAAGGCACACUGUGCACACCAUUUGACUGCCUGGAUCUGCACCUGGCAGCCUGUGCCCGCUCGGCGAAUUGCAGGGAUCCCAGUGCUGUUCCUCCUCAGCUGUGGUUUUGGCGAGGGUGAGCUUAUUGGCCCCCAGACCUCCUGUGUGCCAGUGUCAUUUCCAUAUCUGGUGACUCAUCCUGCUGGUCCUGCCGGAACAUGAUGCCUCCCCUGACGGCAUGGUGCAGGCACAGUGUGUGCAGCCACUGGCCUCGGUUCCUCCCCUGGGAGUUGGCCACCUGCGCCCCCACGGUAGACUCUGGCAUGCUAAAGCCUGAAGGGAGCUUAGCGGUUGUCCAGCCGGACCUUCUUAUUGUACUGACAGGGAGCUGAGGUCUAGAAAAGAGAGGGCCUUUCUGGGGCACUGUGGAGUAAACAGAGUUGGCAGGCUCUUCUACAUUGGGCUAGGAGUCUGGACUCCUGGGUUCUUGCCCAAACUUGGAUGCUAGGGGCCAAGUGGGCUGGGGAAAUUCCUUACUCAUAGCUGGGGUGAGGAGAGGACACAUGGAGAAAGAAGGUGGAGCCUUUUGCAAACUAAAGUGCUUUCCAAAUAUGGGGGGUUAUCAGGAGGGUGGCUUUGGGCCCCUCGAGAUGGUGCUGACCCUGUGUUCCUCUGCAGUCUGUGCAGGGCACUAGGGUGGUUGGUGUCACCAGCCCAGGGGCUGCUGGACACAGGCCCCACCCAGAGGAAUAAGCCAACACCAUUGAGGAGGGGCAGCCCAGGGCUCCCUGCCUGGCUUUGGAGGUGUAAGGUGUUUGAAAUAACAUUCUCCAACAUGCUCAAAGUGAAACCAGCUUCCUUUGGGAACAUAUGGAGACCACAGGCACUUCACAGGGGCUGAUGAGGACCCACCAACUCUGCUGUGGGCUCUGUCCCUGCCCUUGGAGCUCAUAGCCUGGUGACCUUGGCAUUCAUUAUUUUCAUUCCAGUUCUCAGCACAGCGCUUGGCACAUAGUAGGAACUCAGGAAGUGUUUAUGGGAUGGAAUGGGGUGAUGAUGUUGAGGCAAGAUGAAGGGUAUGAACGGAGAUGACAUCUGCGUCUUGCCUGGAAGCAGAGGGUAGGAAAAGGAGCAAGUAAGGAGUGGCGGCUGGCAUGGGUGCAGCACCACUGAGAGGAGGGGUUGAGAGAGGUUAGAGAAGGACUGGAGUCAACACUCCUGAGAGCCCUUCUUUGCCCUGUGGCCUCUUACUUGCAAGCUAGUUCCCCUCUCUCAGCCUCAGUUUCCUAAUCUGUAAAACAGGGAUAAUAGAAUUUAUUCAUGAGUUGUUGCAAGGCUCAAGAACGGUAACGCAUGGGCCAUGGCAGGCUCUCGACCGUGCCUGCUGGACACCCAGUGUGUUGUGAACAGAGAUCUUUAGAGAGAACAGAUAAAAAUUACAGAAGUAUCUUAUAGAGACACAGUUGACAGAUACAGAAAUAAUGUGAGUUGCAUCAUAUUAGAUUCAGAGAGAUUAAAGAUAGAUUUUUAGGGGAAUUUACGAAUUUAUUCAUUUUGGGGACACAGAGAGCGAUGAGCACUGGGAUGGAGAUAGUGAACGCCUGACAUUGGAGGCUCCUGGACUAUAGAGUUGCUUUGUUUGUUUUUUGGAUGGAGUCUCAUUCUGUUGCCCAGGCUGGAGUGCUGUGGUGUAAUGUCGGCUCACUGCAACCUCUGCCUCCCAGGUUCAAGCGAUUCUCCUGCCUCAGCCUCCUGAGUAGCUGGGAUUACAGGCAUGUACCACUAUGCCUGACUAAUUUUUGUAUUUUUAGUAGAGAUGGGGUUUCACCAUGUUGGCCAGGCUGGUCUCCAUCUCCUGACCUCAAGUGAUCUGCCCGCUUAGGCCUCUCCAAGUGCUGGGAUUACAAAUGUGAGCCACCUUGCCUGGCCAAGUGGUUUUUUUUGGAUGGAGUCUCACUCUGGUGCCCAGACUGGAGUGCAGUGGCAUGAUCUUGGCUCACUGCAACCUCUGCCUCCUGGGCUCAAGCAAUUCUCCCACUUCCGCCUCCUGAGUAGCUGGAAUUACAGGCACCUGCCACCAUGCCUGUAUUUUGUAAAAAUACGAAAAUACAAAUUUUUGUAUUUUUAGUAGAGACCAGGUUUCGCCAUGUUGGUCAGGCUGGUCCCAAACUCCUGACCUUGGGUGAUCCAUCCACCUCAGCCUCUCAAAGUGCUAGGAUUACAUGCGUGAGCCAGCACACCUGGGCUUUUUUUUUUUUAAUUUAUUUUUUUCCCCAAACUUGGACAAAGCAUAUCACUUACAGACUUUUUAUUGGGCCACAAAAAUGCUUAAGAACUAAAGAAGAAAACUCCAGCUCCAAAGUAUACAAAAAUAGCAACAGAGAAAUUAUUCAAAAUUUUAAAUGAAAAAUAAAAAAGACUCUUUAAAACUUGUUUAUAGCCAACCAGUUCUAUGUAGCAUGUGACGUGGGUACAUUUCAACAUGCUUGAUGCAAUGUGGGGUCAAUGGGACCCACAAGAGUCUUAUAAAGUGUCCAGGGCACUGCAACCUCCGCCUCCCAGGCUCAAGCAAUUCUCCCACCUCCCAGCUGAGUAGCUGGGAUUACAGGCACCUGCCACCAUGCCCGGCUAAUUUUUGUAUUUCUAGUAGAGACUGGGUUUCACCAUGUUGGCUGGGGCCAUGGGGCUGGGGUUGCUCAGCAAAGUCAGCUGUGUCUGGGGGCAACUGAGAAGGGCUUCCCGGUGGAGGUGAUGUUUGGGUGCAACCUUACAGAGAGAGAAGGGAUUGAAUAGAGGGGAAAAUGGCCUGAUGGUGACUUUUGAGUCUUUUUUUUUGAGACGGAGUCUUGCUCUAUCACCCAGGCUGGAGUGCAGUGGCGCCAUCUCAGCUCACUGCAAGCUCCGCCUCCUGGGUUCACGCCAUUCUCCUGCCUCAGCCUCCCGAGUAGCUGGGAUUACAGGCACCUGCCACCAGGCCCGGC